rnacentral:lncRNA from 1 species
GAAUUGAUAUUGGAUCUCAUUAUAAACAAUCUUGGCAAUGGUAGUUUUACCAAUUCCACCAGGUCCAUAGAUCCCAACCACACGAAUGUCAUUCAAGUCACUACUUAACAAUGAUUUUAGUUCUUUUAGGCGAAAAUCCAUCUCAACUACAUAAUCAUUACUGUGCAAAAGCUUAGAAUUCAUUGAUCUUUUAAAAAUCUGGUGAACAAUUUCCUUAAUAUGCUUUGACUCAUACCUGCCAAUUAUAAAGUACAAUUUAACACUUCAUGAGUCAUAAUGAAUUGCAAGAGAUAACAAAUAUUAAGUAAAUUUAGUGAUAUUUACUUGAUUUUGUCAAUAUAACCAAAGUAAUAGGAUGUAAAAAGUAUUAGAAGCUAAGAACCCAAUAUAUUGAGCAUUUUACGGAUAAUAAGAAGGCAACAAGUUUUGAGCCAAGUAUUAAUAAGAUCACAAAGUAAGCUUUACUAUUCAAAAUUAUUAACUUGUUAAGUCAUGAUUUAAGACAACUAAAUCCUUACAACUUAAUUAAAUCAAAAGCACAAAUUAAGGAAGUUGAAGUUACCCAUCAUUCACAUGGAAACCACUUAGAUUGCUUGCUUCAUUCAAGGAAUCCCUCCACCUUUGCACUUUUUUCGCAUCUACGUUUCUUUCAUGAAUGAAAAAUGCCUCUCCGAAGCUCCCUGUUUGCUUUCGCACAUCAGAAGGAUCCACGUGGGAGAACACCGGAAAGACUAUUUGUUCCAUUUCUUCCCUGCACUCCAUGAUCUUCGCUAACUCAUCCAAACACCACUUCGAUUGAGCAUAGUUUUUUGAGAACACAACUAUGGAAAUUCUUGAUUCUUCAAUAGUUUUCAAAAGUUCUGAUUUGAUCUCCUCUCCUCUUUCAAGUUAGUCGUCUCUGAAAGUCUUAAUCCCCAUCCCAUGCAAAUUUACGAAUAAAUGAUCCGUAAAAUUGUUGCAGGUGUCUUCACCUCUAAAACUCAAGAACACUUCGAACUCAUAUUUACGGACUGAGGUAGAAGAAGAGGAGGGUUUUUGGGUAGAGGAAGCCAUUGUUGGACAGUUUCUGGAUGAAAGUUUAGAGAGAGUUGAGGAUUAACUCGUGCUUAGUCAAUACUUGAAAUGCCCACAUAUGAAGCCAUUGUAUGAAACAAAACUUUAUUUUUAUUUUUUAUUUGGGGUGGUGGGGGUGGGAUGGGGGUUGGAUUGUAAAAAAGCAAACAUCGAUUCUGCAAUACAUGCAAGCAGGUGAUCGGUGGCUUUUAAAAAAAAUAUAAAGGACCACCCACCACAAAACCCGUCAAAGCCUUAAAUUAAAAUUUCAUUUUUCGGUAUUAUGGCCAUUGGCACUUUCCUUUGACCAUAUGAAAGCAAAACUUCCAUGGGCAAUUUAAUAUAUAGUUUAUUCCUCCCUCCUAAAUUUUAAUUUAAAUUCAAUUAAUUUAUUUUUCAUAUUCUAUUUAAUAUAUUAUUAAAAAUAUCAUAAUAAUCUUAUCAAUGAGUCUUUAUUAAAAAUAAAUAAACUUGGAUAUAAAAUUGUUAACAUUUUUAAACAUAAAAAUAUAUACAUAUAUCAUUAUUUCUUUUAUAUUUUAAAUAAAAAUCAUAUGCUUGAUUACUUAAAAAAUAAAAUUUUAAUAAAUUAAUUAAUUUAAUUGUCUUAUUAUUAAAUUUUAUUUAAAUUUGAAAUUUCCAUCUUAUGCAAAUUUCAUAAAUUUGAAAGCACAUCAUAUUAAAUUUUCCAAAAUUAAAUUAUAUUGUAUGGACUUAGAAAUCUUUCAGGAACUUUAAAAAUAUUAAAGCCAUUAUAAAUUUUAUUUUAUUCAAGUUUUAAAAAUAAAAUCGUUAUAGGUUUUAUUUUAUUUGAGUAUAUUAAAUCACUUUUUAAAUACAUUUUAAAAUGAAAAAGUCUGUUUUGUUUGAAGUUCUUAAUUAAUUUAUUAGAGAAACAUUAAAAUUAAAAAUUGUCUAUUUUUUAUUUUAAAAUAUAUUGGUUUCAUUCAAAAUUUUAAAACCAUUUCUUGGUAAAAAGAACAAAAAUAUAAAAAUGAAUAAAUUAAUUUAUUAUUUUAAAAUUAUUUAAUUGAAAUUAUUUUUUAAGAUAAAAUUCAAGAUUGAUAGAAAUAACUAUUCAAUUCGUUAUUCAAUUUAAUAUAAAAUAGUACAUUCUCAAAAUUUUAUUAUUUAAUUAUAAAUGAUAAACUUUUGCAGGUCAAUACUUGAUAUGCCUAAAGAGCAUCCAUCUUUGAUUCUUUGGGUGCUUAUGUGAAACAAAACCACUUUGGUUUGGUCAUUGAAGUGGCUCAAGGUACAUCGGCAGAAAAAAAAUUUUAACUAAAACAAUAUUUAUUAUUUACUUAUAUAACUAAUAUUUAUUUAAAAUUAAAUAUUCAUCCUUUUAUGAGAUGUACCAAGAGUCAUUUAUUCACAACAAUAAAAGGGAGGUGUGUGGCUUUCAAAAGAAUAUGAGGAAUGACCCACCCACCACAAAAUUCAAAAUCAUUUUUGUUUUCUAGCAUUUGCAUUUUAUUUACAAUAGUAAAAGAGAAAUGAGUGGGAAGUUGAGUGGCCUCCAAAAGAAUAUAAGAAAGAAUUCACUCACCACAAAAUUCAAAACCACCAUUGUUUCCUAGCAUUUGCAUUUGGUUCACAAUGGUGAAAAAGUAAUGGGUGAGAAGUGGUUUUAUUUAAAAGAAUAUAAGGACCCAUCCACCACAAAAAUUCAAAAGCACCUUCGUUUCCUAUCAUUUACAUACCAAACAAUUUUAUCUUUUUCUCUUCAUUCCUUUUCACUGUCCAAUGGUAGAUUGGUUCAUCUGAACCCAUCAUGAUGAACAAUUGGUAAUCUACCAUUGUUAUAGGGAAGGUUGAAGGUAAUGCUUGAGUCAUUUCUUCACUUGAAAAAAAAAAAAGAGAGAGAAUUGAGUUGGAUUUUUCUCAUCUUGGAAAAUUCCGAGAUCCUUAGUGGGUAGAAAACAAGACUUCAUAAAAAAAUAAAAAAAAUAAAUAAAUAAAUAAAAAAAAUUCCUUUGUGCAUUUUUUCCUUGGCUUUUUUCCUUUGUGCAUUUUUUAUGUGACUUGGUGAAAAAUUAUUAUUUAUUUUGAGUUAUAUUAUAUUGAGUUACCAUUUGAUAGGUUGCACUAGUUUUUAGUAAGCAAGUUUUUCAUGGUAUUUGUUUGUUGGUGUUACAAGUUCUUGAUCAUAUUAUUAAUAUUAUUUUAUCAUAAAUUAUUUUGAAUAUAAAUAUAAAUAAGAUGGUAGCUUAAUCAAUUUCUUAGGUUGUAAGAUAAAGAUAAUAAUACCACAAUUCUCAUCAUAAAAAAUGUUGAAAAAAUAAAAUCUGAAAAAUGAGAAUGGUCCAACCUUGUUGUUUCCACAUCUCUACCUAUCAAUAAAUUAAACUGAAAAUAAGUACAUAUGUAAUAAAACAAAUGAAAAGAAAUAUCUCUUAUUCAUAUUUACAAUUGUAGACCCUUUUUUUUUUUUAAAACCAAAGUUUUUUUUCUUCUUCUUUUUUUAUUUUUUACCACCCGGAAGGAGUUGAAGGGCAUUUCAUUUGAAGUGGGGGACAUCUUCCAUGAAGCUCCAUGCAUGGACAUGUGGCAAACAUCACCAUCUCGCCAUGGUGGUGGUUGAAGAUGGUGACUAUGGACCCCGCAUUUCGCUCAAUGCGUUCCCACUCGAUGGCGAAACUCGCUUUUUAUUUUAAAAAAUUGAUUUUUACUGUUUGAAAAAUGACUUGGAGUCGCCACUUAUUUUUAUUUUUAUUUUUAAAGGGUAAACAAAAUAAGAAAGAAAACCCUAAGUGUGACUCCUUAUUUUGGAAAAGGUGGUCUACGAAAAACCGAAUCGGGUUCGGGGGUCAGGUUACUUAUCGGGAAGGUACGGUAAAGACCGUAGCACCCCUCUAAGUCCCUAAAAAUGGGUCUCUACUAAUAAAAUGAAGCAAUCAUGACAAUUGAUUAAUCGAGCAUGGAUACCAAAUGAAUAUAACUCAAAACAAAAUAACUAAAUGAACAGAAGAGGCAAAGAAUGUCCCUGAAGUGAUGAACCAGUUUAGUUCAAGGGAAAACAAAUGUUAGCAAUCAAACACAAAAUAAUAGCAUGCAUGCCAUAGUGUGGAAUAAAUCAAUCAUGCAUAGCUAUCAACCAAUCAACCAAUCAAGGAAUUAGAAAAUCACAUAUGUCGAGCCCUACCAAAGCCCGAUUUAUUUUAGCACAAAUUGAUUUCAUGAAUUCCAUUAUUUGAAAUUAUGAAAUUUAUUUAUGCUUAUUUAAAAAAACAUUUAAAAAUUAAGGAAGGUGUGAAAAUUGCUUGCCGGGAAGAAAGUGGCAGCAAAAUUUUAAUGAAAAUGAAGAUCUUUGGUGAACUAAAGCUUUAAGAAAGAAUGAGGAGUUGUGGGAUUAAAAUUAUUUGAAAACAUGAUUUUUGAAAAUCAGUUUUUGAAGGCAAUGAGGAAGAGUAAGGAAUGAGAUGCAUGUGCUUUUGAGGUGGCCAUGCAGGACCUAUGAAGAAAGACACGUGGGAAUUGGAUGGACAAGUGCUGGAAGUGAGUACUGGGGGUUUAAUUGAAUGCAGAUUUAUAAUCUCAGCACCGACUCUGUCCUUUGCAAGAAUAUCAGCAGCCUUGAGUGCGAGGCCUCCCAUUCUUUUGAGAAGACUGUGAUAGUCACAUUCCUUCUUUCUCUCUCAGUCUUGGCUUUCCCUCUUCGGUGAAUAUGGGGACAGCAUUUUCGACCCAGAGCAAGAGUCAGACCAGGCUGUAUAACUCAGGGAGUGCUGGGCGCCAACUCUAACCGCAGCACCAUUUGGUUCUCAACAAAACGAUAGGUACGGAUAUCCCAUCAGCAGACAUGUAACUUGAUUUUUGCAGCAGAAUCAGGUUUGCUCCCCGCAACUAGGUGGGAGAUCUUCACCGAGGCAGGGGCUUGUUCAGCAACAGCCUCAUGUGUUCCAUGCUGAAUAGGAAGGUAGGGUUUUCCUUCCACAUGAAUCUCAUUUUGAAAUAUUGGCCGAAUCAGUUGCUGUUGAAUUUUGUUAUUGUACAUGAAGAUACAGUGUCUUCAUGCCAUGGAUGAUCAGAUAUGCGGCAUUCGGGUUGAGAAUACCACCCAGAACAUGAGGCAAAUUCCUAAUUGUUGAGACCAACUUUUCAGAACUACUAAUGCAACCUGCAAUUACAUCAUUGUGUCCUGCAAUAUAUUUUAUUGCAGAAUGCGGCACGAGAACAGCCCCAAGAGAAAGGAUCUUCUGGUUGAGAGGUGUUGCAAAUGUACUGUCUAUGCAGACUAGUGCUCCUUUCCUGUGCAGAACAUGCAUUAAUCUGAAGGGGAGACAUGUUUAUCAAGUUAUUCUUGUUCUCAUUACCAAUCUGCUGUCAAUCAUCAUCAAUGAUUAGGAACUUAGGAGGCGCGCCCCCCAUGUAGCCACUGCCAACAGCACCAUAUGGUGCAAUAAUAUAGCUGCUGCAUUCAAGAUCUGCAUCAACAACAUCAGUUUUGUGUCUUCGGAAAUGAAAAUCUGUUGGGCCGUUAUAAAGUUCUGGUACAAAGUCAUGAACAGAAUCCCAGUCACUGUUUAGAGCAUCCAAUCUGCUGGAAACCUUACAAUAUCUGCUCCAGAUGCAUAUCGACUAAGGAAAGUGUCUUUAGUCCCCUCAAAAACUCAACAUCAUCAGACAUGCAGCUUGUCUUGGCAAUGCGUUUAAUCGCAAUAACUGACCCACAUCUUCUAAGUUGAACAUAACACUCUCAAACUUUUAUCAGUGCCAUUCAGAGACAAUGAAAGAGGAGCAAAGAGAGGAUCACUUGCCAUUGAAAUGGAGGGAAGAACUAUGUUGGACAUUAGUGACAUGACUGGUACCAAAAGCACCAUUUACUCAUUCCAUUGAAUUCUGUGCGUGCAAACUAUCAGAAGACUUACCAACAAUAAAAUCUGCCCAUUUUUAAAGGUGCCAUAUUGAUCAAACCUGGAAGGUGCCUUCUGGAGACUCAUACGAGAAUGCUCAGCUGUAGAAGAAACUGAAUCAUUGUCACAGGAGUCAUAUAGAAGAUUAUCAUCAUCACAAGUCCCGAGGCCUUUUGUCCCAAAAUGGCGUAACUUGGUAGUUGGUGAAUGCACAAGGCUUGUUGGCUGGUCUACACUGGAUGAGUCUCUAUUAUAUGGUUAACAGUAUGUGUCAAAUAUAUCAGUCAUGAGCACGUUUUGAAGGUCCAGCUGAGUAUUGUCUACCAUCUAUGACUUCAUCACCGUCACGAUCAAUGACAGUUUCUUCAAUGCUAUCAGCUUACCGUAUCCUUAAGUGUGGCCUAUCAUCUGAGCUGGCACCUAUUUCCUAACUCCACUUACAAGGACUUGGGCCCCAUGGUUCACAUGACGUUGCACGAUCACCAACCUCACUACCAGAAGGCUGCCCUAUCAUUAGAUUCCUUCCCAUAUCAGCAUCAUGCAUAUUUUCAGACAUUGCUGUCCAGUUUAAGUGGAAUAAUUGGGGGAACCCUUCCUCUAUCAGAAUUCAUUGGUUCGGCAUCAGAAUGACAUUUACCACCUGGAACAUGCACGGAUGGUAACAAUGGAGAUGCUUUAUUUGUUGCAUUCUCUGCUUUUGCAUUGGAAGUUUCAACUCCUCUAGCACGGGUACAGGAUGACCUCUUAGGAGCUAAAGAUAUAUUAAAUUCCACAAGCUUUCCUUCAGAAGGCUGACCCAAAGGUGUAUCUGAACCUUAUUUGGCAUGACUAACAAGCUGUCACUUUCACACAUAUUCUAAGCAUCUUCCCAGAGGCUUAACAAAAAUGGGAUCCUCAGGUUUACAGAGGAGGGAAGAGAAACCCGGCUUAGCAUUCAGAAAAGUUUGUUGCUGUCGACAUCUUCACCAUCCCGAGUCCUUGGGACUGUCGGUGCAAGUGUGGAACUACCAGAAGAGUUGUUACUCAGACCUAGAAUUCUCAACCGUAUGAAGAGUGACCCUCAUGAAACUUUCUCAGAAUCACCCCCAAAUAGGAUGGCCAACCCAAAUGAGAUCCUCACACCCCGGACUUACCAGAAACAGGGAAAUGAACAAAAGAAGAUGGAAGCAAGGCAAGGACUGAAGAAAUAGCCCAAGGAAAAUCAAGUAAAUCAUGAACGUAUAGAGCCUCAUUUCAAGUGACAUCCAUGGGCCAAUGCAGGUGGAAUCCAAAGGAAGCAAGAGUGUUUUUUUAAAAUCAAAUUCAGUGAUGAGUACAUAUUCAAAUCAUUCAUAAAACAGAGGAAUGCUCAAGUUGUUCAUAGACAUAUCCAAAAGAGCCAGACUAGAAUCAGGCAAAAAAAAUGCAUAAAAAUGGUCUUAGAUUCCACAAACAUAAAUAGUAUCUGAUGUCCACAUUCAAGCAUCCAAAUGAACCCAAAAUCAGCAAGAAACAGGAUAGAACAGUCUGAAACGGGAAAUGUAAAGCGUGCUGAAAUCAUACUUGGACCAAAACCACAAGCUCCUCCUCUGCUCAGCUAGAAACGCCUCUUUCUCCUUUCUCACUCUCUUUGGAACCCCAGGAACCUGUAAACUUCUUUUAUGUCUCAAGCAACCUACGCUCCUUUCAUCACCGUCUGCUCCUCUCUCUCUCAAAGAAUACCUCCAUUUUCUUUCCACAGCUUUAACUCUCUCUAUCUUUCUCAUUCUCCUCUGUCUAGACCCCCCUCUCUCAAGAAAGAAAAUCCCCCCUCCAAAAAAAUGUCACCCUGCCAGUAACGAAUAAAAAAACCUCACCCUACGCACCUCCUCGUCUUUGUCCCUUACUUUUUCCUCCACCCCUCCGUAGCCAAAAGCACCACGCCUUUUUGCCAGAAUCCUCUCCCUCUCUCAUACGCUCCUCCAGAACAGAAACGUGCUCCUCUCCUGAAGAUUCGUCCUAGGUGUCGCUCCUUGAUAGCUCCUCAAAAAGCACUAUCUGAUUCCAUAGCAGCCAACUAAAAGACACCAUGUGGUCUCCUAGGGUCGCGACACUUGGCAAAACAAGCUGCAUGAAAGUGAGGCCCAAAUGGGGGUCUACAGUGACAUAUUUGCUGAAUCAUUCCCAGUAGAGCUGGUGGAGGCUUGGUGGAGAACAAAACUAGUUGGAGAGAAGGACGGAGGGGGCGGUUGUUGGCGAAAAAGCUGGAGAGGGGAUUCAGAAAGGAUGAACGAGCUGGAGUGGUGAAGACCGGAACUGGAGGGAGGGAUGUUGGCAGAUUUUGGAAGAAACUAUGGGAUUGAGUGCUUGAAACCAAGCAAUCCUUGCAGGAGGAUGACUGUGGGACGGCAGGACCGACCCCAUUAUCUUCCCCAUCGACCAAUAGACAAUUGAGGUAUUUAUGUAUUGUUUGUUUCUUUGUUAUAUGUUUGCUCUUUAAUAUGGAUAAUUGAUUUAGUGUACCAAGAUAGGGUUUUGUUUCUGACAUGAAAGAAUGAAUGUUCGCAACUGAAUCAGGACAGAAUUGUUACAUCAGAUGCUUUGUUUAUAAAUAGUUUAGGUGUUCAGUUUUGUAGGGAGAAUAACAUCAUAGAUUCAUAGAUUCACCUUAUUGAGUGCACUUGACAAUUAAGUUCUCUGUUCUCUUUUUCUUUCCUCGACUGGCAUCAGAAAACACACAAAGUUUCAUUGUUUUCUUUUGCUUCCAAAAAAUAAAAAUUUCCGUUGCGAGAAAAUGGAACCAGAAACCAGACGGUAGAAUCAAGAAAAUAGUGCUAGAGAUCCUCAAAAUUAAGCGCGGACAUGGACGAGAUGACCGAGUUCAUAGAUUCGAAAAAUAGUUUCCCAAAAAAAAACUCGGAAUCAACCUCUUCGUGCCGGACUAACUACAAGCGCUUCGUCCGCUAGGUCGUCGAGACCUUCCUCCAGUCCACCGAAGAUCUUAGAUGAGAACCGGAACCAAAACUGGAACCUGAUCGAAAGAAGGCGAACACCGAAGCAACUGAACGGGAACCGAAAGAAUAGAGGGCGGUCGGUGGAUUCAUUCGGGAAACAACGCAGAUCAGAGCCAGAUAGUGCAGUCCAGAAAUCGAUGGGCGGUCAUGGUGGUUCCACAGUCCAUACCCAUAAGAAAUUGUUGGAAGAUGGCAAGAUAUGACUUGUAUCCACCAGCCAGCUGCAUGUCCAAUAGAAUGACUUAGUGGAUCACUCAUGCAUCACCUUGGAUAGGGACAUGUAUCUUAUGGCCCAUGUCCACCAGCCCGUCCCUCCAUUUUCAACCAUUGGACAUGAUGGUCAGCUAUAUGGGCCUCAGCACCACCAGUGUCCAGCCCAUUGCUUUCCACUACCUACAACCAGCAUCCCGGGCCUCAUUUUGCUUGGCCACCUUUGGUCUGCAAUCCCAACUGUCACACCUCAUUUAUUUAUUCAUUUUCUUUUAUUAUUUCUUUGUGUUCUGAUAUCCAAGUUUAAUCUUUUCAAAAUUUCAAUUUUCACAUUUAUUUAUUUAAUCAUUAUUAUUUUCGCUAUAAUUAUUAUUCUAUUUAUUUAUUUAAAAAAAAUUCAUCUUUAAAUAAAUCUUCAAAAUUCCGAUUUCCAAAUUUAAUUUCUAAUUUCCAAAAUUCUAAUUUUCAUAUUUGUUUAUUUAAUCAUUAUUAUUUUCGUUAUUAUUAUUGUAUUUAUAUAUUUUUUAAAAUUUUCAUCUUUAAAUAAUUCUUCAAAUUUUCCAAAUUUAAUUUCCAAUUUCCAAAAUUCCAAUUUUAACAUUUAUUUAUUUAAUCAUUAUUAUUUUUGUUAUUAUUAUUAUUCUAUUUAUUUAUUUUCAAAAUUUUCAUCUUUAAAUAACUCUUCAAAAUUCCGAUUUCCAAAUUUAAUCCCCAAUUUCUAAAAUUCCAAUUUUCACAUUUAUUUAUUUAAUCAUUGUUAUUUUUGUUAUUAUUAUUACUCUAUUUAUUUAUUUUUAAAAUUUCAUCAUAGUUUUUCAAAAUUCCAAUUUUCACCUUUAUUUAUUUAAUCAUUAUUAUUUUCAUUAUAAUUAUUAUUCCAUUUAUUUAUUUAAAAAAAUUCCAUCUUUAAAUAAAAAAUCAAAAUUCCUAUUUCUAAAUUUAAUUUCCAAUUUCCAAAAUUCCAAUUUUUACAUUUAUUUAUUUAAUCAUUAUUAUUUUCGUUAUUAUUAUUAUUAUUUUUAUUUAUUUUUAAAAUUUCAUCUUUAAAUAAUUCUUCAAAAUUCUGAUUUCCAAAUUUAAUUUCCAAUUUCCAAAAUUCCAAUUUUAACAUUUAUUUAUUUAAUCAUUAUUAUUUUCGUUUUUAUUAUUAUUCUAUUUAUUUAUUUUCAAAAAUUCCAUCUUUAAAUAACUCUUCAAAAUUCCAAUUUCCAAAUUUAAUCCCCAAUUUCUAAAAUUCCAAUUUUCACAUUUAUCUAUUUAAUCAUUGUUAUUUUUGUUAUUAUUAUUAUUCUAUUUAUUUAUUUAUUUAUUUUUAAAAUUUCAUCUUUAAAUAAUUUUUCAAAAUUCCAAUUUUCACCUUUAUUUAUUUAAUCAUUAUUAUUUUCUUUAUAAUUAUUAUUCUAUUUAUUUAUUUUUAAAAAAUUCAUCUUUAAAUAAAUAUUCAAAAUUCCUAUUUCCAAAUUUAAUUUCCAAUUUCCAAAAUUCCAACUUUCACAUUUAUUUAUUUAAUCAUUAUUAUUUUAUUUAUUUAUUUAUUUUUAAAAUUUCAUCUUUAAAUAAUUCUUCAAAAUUCCAAUUUCUAAAUUUAAUCCCCAAUUUCUGAAAUUCCAAUUUUCCAAUUUUCGAAUUUAAUUUCCAAAAUUCCAAUCUUCACAUUUAUUUAUUAUUAUUAUCAUUAUCAUUAUUAUUAUUAUUAUUAUUAUUUUAUUUAUUUAUUUUUAAAAAUUCCAUCUUCAAACAAUUUCCAAGGUUCCAAUUUUCAUAAUUUAAUUUUCAUAGUUCCAAUUCUCAAAUAAUUUUCCAAAGUUCCGAUCCUUAAAUUUAAUUUUCGAAAUCCCAAUUCUUAAAUCUAAUUUUCAAAACUUCAAUUUUCAAAUGAUUUUCAAAGCUCCAAUUUAUUAAAUUCGACUUUUCAAAAUUCCAAUUUUCAAAUAAUUUUCGAGACUUCAAUUUUCGAAUAAAUUUUAAAAAUUCAGUUUUCUUUCGAACAGUUUUAAUUCCACUCCAGUUUUCAGAUAUUUCUUAAUUCUACCACUUUUCAUCCUUUAUUAGAGCUUUUAGACCGCCAAAAAUCUUGAUUUUAAUAAUCCUGCUGCCUUUCUCAUUUUGGUAUGCACUUGUACAAAUUUUCUUCGAUUCUCAAAUAAUUUUAUGUUUCUCUUGAUUUUAAAUGAGCAAUAAUGAUUUUUUUCAUAAUUCCAAAAUAAUGGAAUUUGUGAGACUAAUUCAUGCAAGAUCAAUUGGGCUUUGGUGGGGGUCCUACAUAUGAGUUUUCUCUUUUGAUUAUCAAUUGUCAUGCUUAAUGAGGAUUGUUUGAUCUUUGUCCUGAUCUUUGAUAUGCAUGUGAUAAUUUUAUACUUGAGCUAACCUUGUUUCCGUAAUAGCGCACUAUUACUUGCUGCUAAGGUACGAUCUCACUUCCACUUUGCUUAUUCUUAUGCAUGAUUUGCUUUAUUAUUUGAUUAUUUCAUUGGUAUCCAUUGAUUUCCUUAUCAAUUGUCACACUUGUCUCACCUUAUUUAGUAGAGACCUUAUUAUAGGGCUUAGAGGGAUGCUAUGACUCACCACCGUACCUUUCCAAUAGGUAACCUGACCCUCGGACUCGAUUUUGGUUUUCCACAUACUGUCUUUUCCAAAUAAGGAGUCACACUUAGGGUUUUCUUUCUUAUUUUGUUUUCCCUUUAAAAAUAAAAUAAAAAUAAGUGGUGACUCCAAGUCUUUUUCUAAAAAAAAAAAAAUCAUUUUUUCACAAAUAAAUUAAAAGCGAGUCACGUCGUUGAGUGGGAACGCACGUGAAAAAUGCGGGAUCCACAACCAUCUAUAAAGUUUCUUCUUCAUUCUUGAAUUAUUUAAAAAUAAAUACCACAAAUGAAAUUUAUGAAUUAGGACCUACAAAUAUUAAAUGAAAUUGAUAAUUAUUAAAAAAAGAAGUUUUUUUCCUUAAUAUUUGUCUUUCUACCACCAUUAGGAUAAUAACAUUAAAGAGGAAUUGUAAUUAUGCCUCAUUCACUACUAUUGUCAAAUUCAAAACUCUCCAAUAAAUAUUGGUAGUUUGAAGUCUCUCAAAGUCAUAUUUAAUUUAACUUUUUGAUCUAUUUUCCCAUUUGUUCGAUCAAAACCUUAAAUUAAAAUUUCCAUUUUUUGCUAUUCCUUUCACCGGUUUCAAUAUAGUUGCCAUGGCUCCUUUCCCCUUUGAGGAAUCCAACCCAAUAUCCCAUAUGAAGGCAAACUUCUUGACCUAUUGGGCAAUUUAAUAUAUAGUUUAUUCCUUCCUCCUAAAUUUUAACUUAAAUUUAAUUAAUUUUUUUUUUCAUAUUCUGUUUAAUAUAUUAUUAAAAAUAUAAAAAUAUCAUAAUAAUUUCAUCAAUGAGUCUUUCUUUAUUAAAAAUAAAAAAUAAACCGGGAUAUAAAAUUGUUAACAUUUUUAAACAUAGAAAUAUAUACAUAUANNNNNNNNNNNNNNNNNNNNNNNNNNNNNNNNNNNNNNNNNNNNNNNNNNNNNNNNNNNNNNNNNNNNNNNNNNNNNNNNNNNNNNNNNNNNNNNNNNNNACAUAGAAAUAUAUACAUAUAUCAUUAUUUCUUUUACAUCUUAAAUAAAGAUCAUCAUUUCAAACAUAUGUUUGAUGACUAAAUAAAAUAAAAUUUUAAUAAAUAAAUUAAUUUUAAUUAUCUUAUCAUUAAAUUUCAUUUUACUUAUUGUGAAAAAUGUAAAAACCAUCAUAAUGAUAUUUUCAAAAUGAUCACUUUAUGUUUUUAGUAUGGUAUUUAGAUAUUAAAUAUAUAACAUAAAAUUUAAAAAUAAAUUAAAAAAUAAUUAUACAUAUAUCAUUAGUUAUUUUAUAUCCUAAAAUACAUCCAAACUACAAAGAAUAUUAUUUUCAUAAUAAAUGUGGUUAAUGAAUUUAUUUAAGAAUCUGACAAAGUUUUAUCAUACAUAAAUAGUUUUCUUUAAUAUAAUUACUUCAAUAUGUAUUAUUGAAGUUAUGAUAUUAUUUUUUAAAAAAAGUUUUUUCUAAUAUUUUUUCAAUUAAAUAUGCAAGAAAAACAUCUAUAAUAACUAGAAAAAGAUAGUAUAGUAAAAUUAAUUCAUACUCAUUUUUAUUGUAUAUAAAAAAUAAUAUUUUGGUAGAAAAAAGUUUUAUAUAUCUAUACAUGAGGAGUUAGUAGCUACCCAUGAUAAAAGUGGUCUCAAUCACAUUCUCCUUUUAACACUAUUUCUUUAUUUUUUUCAUUAUCAUUUUCAUUCAAUCAUACGGGUUUUGUGUAAACAUUUAUUUCAAUGCUUUUGUUUCUCUAUGUUCUAAUACUUAUAUUAACUCAUAUAUAUCUUUCUCUUCCUCCAAUCUAAAACUACAAAAAAUAAUGCUAAAUAAUAAUGUUUAAGUCAAAGCAUUUUACUUUGGUGAAAGAAUAUAUAGUAUAAAUAUCUUUGAAUUUGCAAAAUAAUUAUAUAAUGAACCACUAAAUUUAUCCACAAAAUAAACUUGCAAAAUGUUGCAAGUUAAAUUAUAUUUUUUUUAAUCAAAAUUGGAUUGAAAAAGAAUUUUAUGAAUAUUUUAAAAUUCACAACUUUCUACUUUAAUAUCGUCCAAGUCACAGGUGGUGGGAAUAGUUAAAAACAGAGUGGCGAAUGAGUGUCUAAUACUUAAGAAUUUGUCCAAUAGUUCAGAUCAAAGACUACAACAAAAAGCGAAACGCACGUUAAUUAAGAACGUCAAAGAAAAGGAUUUCAAAUAGUGUUUCACUUAAUAAUAUGAAAGCAAUUAUUUUAAAAGAAAAAUAAAAAAAAAUGAAUGACUUCUUGUACAACUACUCUUUGCAAAUAUAUAAAAUUUGUCUAAUAAUUUAUACCAAAUAUUACAACAAAAGGUGAAAUGGAAGUCAAGAGUGUAAGAGAAAAAGAUUUCAAAUAGUGCGUCAUUCAAUAAUAUGAAAGUAAUUAUUUUAAAAGGAAAAAAAAGUGAAUGAAAGUAAUUAUUUUAAAAGAAAAAUAAAAUAUACGAAUGUACAACCACUCUUUACAUAUAUAUCUAUAUAUAUUUACUUUUGUAUUAUGCAGAAAUCAUUGUCAGCAUUGUGGGCAUCCCCGUAAAUGGGGAUAACGGGCCUACCCAAAGAACUAUUCGUUGAGUUGGGCCAGUUUGGGCCAUGAUUAAAAGCCCAUCUAGCCUAAUGGCCUAGUUGACUUAAAUAGCCCAAUAGGUAAAGUGGGAAAUAGAACGUGGGAGAACAGUCCACAAGGAGUAGUGGAGGUAGUUAAUGCUUGGGGCGGUAACCGCUUGAAGUGGCUAAAAAGUGGCCCCACGAUCUCCAUGCUUAUUGGUAGCUGAAAGGUAUAUGAAUACAAUUGGAAAGUCCAAAAAUAAAAAUAAAAAUUGUAGCAUGAGAAACAUUACAUUUUCUAGAAAACCCCAACUAACUUAAUCAUCAGAUGAGGUGAUCCUAGGGUAAAACUUAGUGAGCCUUAUGUGGUAGGUAUAAGGAAGCGCACGACAAGGAGAUGACUAUUGCUCAAGAAAUUCUCAGCUCCAACAAGUGGCGCUGUCUAUGGGAAAAUUCUACAUUAAUGUAACAUUUUUACUUGGAGCUGAAAAGUAUACCAUUUUUGUUUGGAGUUGGAAGCUUCACAAUGGGAGAUAGUCAACUGCGGGAUUCAAUUAGUACAAUUGCUCCUCGAAGGGCCGUGACACUAGAGUUUAUUCUUGAGGGUUUCGAAAUGCGCCAAGUAGAGCAGGAGAGAAGAAUUGAAUCCAUCAUUGCCUAGACAAAGUUUCUAAGGCAAGAGAAUGCCUUGUCGCAGACACAACUCAAAGAUCAGCGUGCUCGCAUUCAAACAUUGUAUUAGUCAACAAGUAAUCUUGAUCACUUAUGCCAUCAGGACAAUAAUGACAUGGUGGAACCUUUAGAUCAUGUAGUUCAUUUUGGUCAAGUUCCCCACAUCAUUUUAAGUUUUCAUGGAGGAUGUCGCCCAUUUGACCUCAAGAUUCCAAGAAGUCUAGUCAUUGAAGGCAUAGAUGAGGCGAACAACACUCCCGGUAGGGACCCAAGCCCCUAGUGUAUUCAAAUCCUUGUAGCCAACAACAAAUGAGGUUGCCCCAUGUGGAGGCUGUAGGAAGGCUGACUCAGCCCCUAUCUUCGGUAGCUUGGCUCCCACAUGGGUGAUCAAAUGAGUUGUCUCUAGGAGCCACAACUCGCCACCUGAAUGAUAUGAUGAUAACACCAUUCGCCCAACAUGUUUUGAUGUAUGAACCCCUAAGAGGAUAUACCAUUCCUAAGCUCUUUAUGUAUGACGGAACAUAUGACCUCUUCGAUCAUCUGAUGCGUUAUCGACAAAUGAUGAUGCUUGAUAUCGAUAAUGAUGAGUUUCUAUGCAAAGUCUUCUCGGCUAGUCUCUAAGGAACUACCCUAGCCUGGUUCCACCGAUAUCUCCCUAAUUCCGUUCACUCCUUUAGGGAGAUGUCAGAAGUCUUUGUAGCUCAUAUUUGUGCUCAACAAGGUAGAAGUUCAAUAUCAACAGCCUUCAAAAUCCGAAGAAGAUAGAAAGUGAGACUUUACGCCAAUUCAUGCACAUGUUUGACCAAGCAAUGCUCCAAGUAGAAACAUGCAGUAUGGAUGCUUUGCUAUAAGCCUUCAAGCCUAGCAUUGGGUCAAGGACCCCAUUUUUUGAAUCUCUCUCCAAGAAGCCAUCAAAGAUGAUUGAUGAAUUGUUUAGAAGAGUUAACAAGUAUGCUAUGUUGGAAGAGGACUUGUAGGCUGCAACAAGUCCCGUCUUAGUAUCAACGCAAGUGGCACAGGCAAAAAAGAUACAGGGAAUAAACGCCAGGGCUCGGGGAACCCUUCAUAGGGCAAAAAGCCGCGUAGGGGUGAUGAGGGCCAAAGACCACCCCGACAAUGAGGGACAAAGACCACCCCGACAAUGAACCUCACUCAAUCUUACCUAUAGAUAGUUACUUCUAAUUAUGACCGACUUACUCGGCUUUAGGUGGCCCUUCGCUUUUAGGGAUGAACCGACAUAACAAGACCAAACGCAGCAUUGCGAAUACCAUAAAGAGUAUGGGAACACCAUUGAUGAGUGUCGACACCUCCAUUAUCUAGUGAAAGACAUGGUAAGAGCUAGUUUGCUCUCUCAGUAUGUCAAGAAGAGCGAACAGUCGGCUACUGGGAGUAUUGAGCAAGUUGCGACCAACAUGAUCCUGUCAAGGGGAGCACCGCUAGUUAUUCAUGUCAUUCAAGGAGGACCUAUUGAUCAACAUUGGGAAUCAAAGUGUCGUCAUCGAGCAAUGAUUCAAGAAUCUAGUGACGUGGAGAAGAUCGGUACGGAGCACUACUCCUUUGUAUUAGGGACAAUGGAACCUGUAAAUGGGGCUAUCACAUUUAACACUCGAGAUCUUGCAUGAAUAACAGUUCCGCAUGAAGAUGCCCUUGUUCUAUCACUAAAAAUUGUUGGGUUCCAAGUCUGCCAAGUACUUGUUGACCGAGGUAGUUCAAUUAACUCGUUCCACAUCUCGGCUUAUAAGCAAAUGGGUGUCCCCAUCUCCACUUUAGGAAACCCGAGUUGAGUAAUAACAGGUUUUAAUAGAUCAACAACCUGGACUUUGGGAGAAAUAAUUUUGUUGGUUGAAGUCGUCCUACAACCCUAAAUGUUCGUUUUUAAGUCAUGUCAGAACCUUUAUCGUACAAUUCCAUAUUAGGACGAGUGUGGAUUCAAAAAAUGAAGGUUACCCCUCUCAAUUUAUCACCAAAAAUUCAACUUUCUUACUAAAACGGGCUAAGUAGACUUAUUUGGGAGUCAACUAACUGUUAGGUAGUGUUACCAGGUAAAUGUCUUGCCUACGGAAGAGGAAGUUGAAAAUGCUCAUGUUGACAGCGAGUCCCAAUAGAAAUAAUAAUUAUUGAAGGACAAAGGUGACCGAGAAUCCCCAAUCAUUGACCUAUUGGUUUGUGUAGAAAUACAGAAAGAAUGAUCAGAGAAGGUUACAUACGUUAAUGCUAUGUUCAUAGAGCAAGAAAAACAUCAACUAGUAAGCCAACUGAAUCUGAACGUCGGAGUCUUUGCUUGGGAAUUAUCUGACAUGCCAAGAAUAUCCCCCAAAGUGAUGAGUCAUAAACUUGGGAUCCGCCCAGGAUCGAAACCUGUUCGACAAAAAGUAAAAAGGCUUAAUUCAUAGAGGCAGUAGAUAAUUGAGCUUGAAGUAUCCCUAUUGCUCGAUGCAUGAUUCAUUCGUGAGGUCUACUACCCAGACUGGCUAGCUAAUGUGAUAGUUGUGCCAAAAAAAUGAGGUAAAUGGAGGGUUUGCAUAGACUUUACUAACUUGAAUGAGGCAUGCCCAAAGGAUAGUUUCUCAUUGCCACACAUUCAUCAAAUUGUUGAUGUUACUUUGGGGCAUAAGAUGUUAUCUUUUAUGGAUGAUUUUUCUGGCUAUAACCAGAUUCCUACGUACCCUUCUGGUACUGAAAAGACAUCAUUCAUAACCCCAUUUGGGACUUUCUGUUAUAAUGUAAUGUUUUUUAGCCUUAAGAAUGCAGGGGCCACUUAUCAACAACUAAUGAAAAAAAUAUUUUAUUCAAUGCAAAGCAAAACGACAAAGGUUUAUAUAGAUGACAUACUUAUAAAAAACAGGAAACAAGAUAAUCACUAUACAGACUUGCAGUAAGCUUUUGACUUGCUAUAGCAUUUUGAGAUGAAAUUGAAUCCUACUAAAUGUGCCUUUGGGGUGUUUUCCGGCAAGUUCUUUGGUUUUCUAGUCAUAGAGCAAAGAAUUGAAAUAGAUCCUGCCCAAAUAAAGACAAUACAAAAGCUACCAUCUCCUCAAAGUAAAAAAUGAUGUGCAAUAUUUAAUAGAAAGGGUGGCUACAAUAGCCCGUUUUAUUUCUCGGUACAUUGACCGUCUAAAGCAUUUCUUUAAUGUGAUAAAAAAAAAAAAAAAGCUAAGGCCUUUGAGUGGACCGUUGAGUGCAAGGAAGCGUUUAUAGCCAUAAAAAACUAUUUGGUCUCACCCUCAAUUUUAAAAAGUCCUCAACUGGGAGAUCCCUUGUACAUGUACCUUGCAGUAUCAAAGUUGGUAAUCAAUGCAAUUUUGCUUAAGCAGGGCCCUAAUGGGAGCCAGUUACCAAUUUACUAUGUUAGUAAGGAAUUGAUGUCAAUUGAGUAGAAUUAAACCAUGCCAAAAAAAGUGGCAUUGGCACUACGAAUGGCAUCAAAGAAGUUGGGCCCUUAUUUUCAGGCACACCAAGUCAAUGUCUUGAUCGAUGUUCUUUUUCGAGCUACAUUGCACGGGCCUGAGUUGUAGAUUGCUUUGACCAGAAGAUGGGAGAGUGGUGGAUUCUCUAUGUUGAUAUAGUGCCUCGCGAUGCAGGUACAGGGGUAGGGCUCGUCCUGCAAUCCCCCAUAAGAGAAUAUUUGGAGCAGGUAGUCUGAUUGGGCUUCCACGCUUCAAACAAUGAGGCUGAGUAUGGAGCUCUGCCUGUUGAAGUAAGCUUGGCACUGUUAGUCUAGGCUAUCCACCUCGAUAUACGGAGUGACUCACAACUAGUGGUGAAUUAGGUGCAAGGAGAGUAUGAAACAAGGGAUGAAAGAAUGAUAAAGUACCUCCAGAGAGUGAAAAACCAGCUUCACAAAUUUAGCAAGUGGAAGGUGACUCAGAUCACUAGGGAAGAGAAUGUCUGAGUAGAUGCAUUAGCUAGAUUAGCAACUUCCUUAGCUAUGACACAAACAACUAUUCUACCGGUUUAUUACCAAGAUGACCCAUCAAUCCUAGAAAGAGAACAAGUGAAUCAAGUUUAUGACAUCCAUGGAAGUUGGAUGGAACCGAUCAUCAAGUAUCUGGAGAUAGGGGAGCUACCAAAAAAUGAACUUUAGGCACAUUGAAUCAAGAUUAAGUUCGCAUGAUAUAGCAUGAUCGGGGGUCGAUUAUAUAGAAGGUCUUACAGAGGACCAUAUUUAAGGUACUUGGAACCAGAAGACGCGAAGUAUGUCAUUUCAUAAUCGCAUGAAGGAAUAUGCGAAAAACACCCGGGUGGCCAGACAUUUGCUCAUCGAGUUUACACAUAAGGGUACCACUAGCCCACCAUUCAUAAGGACUCCCAGGAGUUAGUGUAGAUGUGUGACAAUUGUCAACAGUAUGCACACAUCCUCUGGCUACCAUCGGAGUCCCUCACUCCUUUGGUUUGGCCUUAGCCUUUUGCCGAAUGGGGAAUAGAUAUAAUGGGUCAUUUCCCAGUAGUCCCUGCCCAAAAUAAAUUUUUGUUGGUAGCAAUUGACUACUUUACAAAGUGGGUUGAGGUAGAGACUUUCGCAACAAUAAAAGAUAAGGACGUAACAAGAUUUUUAUGGAAGAGCAUCAUCUUUCGUUUUGGAAUACCACGAGUGAUAAUCUCAUAUAAUGGGCCAUAUUUUGAUAGCUCCAAUUACAAAAAAAUUUGUGCUGAGUUAGGGAUCAGGAACUUGUAUUCCUCACCACGCUACCCACAAGCUAACAGGCAAGCGGAAGCAACGAAUAAGUCUCUUCUUGAUAUGUUGAAGAAAAGACUUCAAGGAGUCGGUAGGUGGAAGAGUUGUUUGGAGUAUUAUGGACACAUCGAACCAUGCGAUGGUGCCCAACUAGGGAGACUCCUUUCUCCCUAGCUUAUGGCAUGGAAGUUGUCAUCCCAUCUGAAGUGGGAAUGCCAACAUUGCAAACGACCCAAGAACCAACAGGAAACCAAGAGAUUGAAGGUAGUCUAGAUUAGGCCAAUGAAUUGAAGAAGACAACUCUGAUUCGAAUUGAAGCUUAUCGCCAUCAAGCUAUGGCAUAUUACAACAAGCAAUCAAAACCACAACAACUGCAAGUCGGGGACUUAGUCUUGAAAAAAAUGUUUGAGAAUAUGGCAGUUCCUAGGCUUGGCAAAUUGCAAGCCAACUAGGAAGGUCCCUAUCGUGUAAUAAAAAUAAGACAUGGGGGAGCCUACUUCCUAGAAAAAUUAACCAAGGAACAUUUACCUCGUCCCUAGAACAUUUAAAAGCUGAAAAAUGUAUUUUUCUUGAAUAAAAAUCUUUUGAUUAAGUAAAUAAUGCAAACAUGCUAGCAAAAUGCAUUAAAGGAUAAAUGCAAUAUUAUGGAAAAACUCGAACAAAGUAAUGGCAAAAAGCAAUUGAUAAAAAUGAAAAGCUUCAAAGACUCCUUGAACAAAGUAGGGGCAAAAGAAGCAGAACACAAAGGCCUAUUGUCAGGGAAAAACCCUACAAACUUUAAAAAGAAAGAGACAAAAAAAAAAAAAAAACUAUAAAACCUGCCAAAUGUCAAAAAACCAGUGUAAUUGUUAAUUUUUUCCAAAAAAAAAAAAAAUGACUUCAGUUCAUUCUUUUAGGUCUUCAAUGUGUGCAAUGGGAUCUAAGUCGGCCAACAAGAAUUCUAGUUCUUCAGUCCUUUCUAAGGCAUUCCCUUGGUCAUCCAGAUUACCUAUCUGUUGAGCAGAGGAAAGCGCAUUGCCAGUGUAAGGUAGAAGAGAAACUUCAUCUGAGCAAGUGGCGAUACCUUUUUGCAAAGAAGCACCCAACGGGUCUGACAUCCCAACAAGGUCGGUUUCGUCCUCGUUUGUAGCAACUAGCCUCACUCUCUUGUCGGCCCUACUAGCACCCAGUGGAGAAGUUUCAAGAGUAGAACUUUCAUCUUCAGUUACAAAGUCCUCAUCGAUAUCAAAGUCUUCAAUGAUAGCAUGUUUUUGCUUGCAACACCGAUACGCAUACUAAUACAUUUUUUCUACCUGCUCGAUGUAUUUGGUAGUGAACUUUGCAUGUUGAGCUUUCAGUGUGGAUUGGGACUGGUUAAUUUGAAGAUGGAGUUGUCUAUCUCCUCUACCUUUCUUCUUUGAUCCUCUUUCAAGUCCACACACUCGGUCUAAAAAGUUUGGAUUAAAGCCUAAAGGAUUUUAUUAGAGUUCUCAAGUUCAUCCAUGCGCAAUUUAGCUAAAGCCAAUUCCAUCUCAAGGUUCUCCUACUUGGCCAUGGACUCAGCAACGUACUGUCUAAGUUUACUAGCAGCCUCCAACUUCUCGUUAGCAUAUUGAAGUUGGUGUUUUAAGUCUCUAACAACGACAACCCCUUGGUACAUAAAUGUGAAAGCGUUAAAUGUAUUAAAGAAUUUUAAGGAUGAGUAUCAAAAGUGUGCUCAGUUCGUUGUAGUACCAUUUCAGUAAUCUGAUCUUCAUCUAGUCCUCGAAUAGCAGAUAUCAUCUGAACAACCCGGACAGGAGCCCCAAUGGGAACAUUUGCAAUAAAAUUAAAGUUUGGCUAACUAAGAACUUCCGCAUGAUCUACUUAGUAGCAAGGAAAAUAACACCUAUAUAUGAUAAAGGAUGAUCAGUAGUGGUAAAUAAGGAAUAUUGGUUUAGGAUUUCUCCUACCUCCUCAAUUAAAAUGAAACCAAUCUUGUGUGGGUGUAAACUCACCCUUGGGUGCAGGCCAGGAACAAUAAUCUUGCCAUGAGGGGCCACUUGUGGAGUAGUAUUCGGUAAAGCCCUUUGUAUAGCCGACACCUUUUGAAUCAUACCAAAAGCUGGUUGGGUGGUCUUCAACGGGCCGGUCUCUAGUCUUUUUUCUCUUUCUUCUCUUUCUAACCCGACUAAAGAUGUCAACGGCCUCACCUUCUGUGUCAUCCAUGUCCUCCGCAAUCAAAGGAGCUGACUCGUUCUGUUCAAUAGAAUCACCGUUUGGUACCAGUAGCGAAAAGUCUGUUGGGGCAAUAAUAGCUGAGCCCCGGGAGAAAAGAGUGUGCUCAAGCAAAGAGAAUGGAAUUGUCACAGAGAGACCAAGUUGGGUAGUUUGUCGAGUAGUUGUUGGUGACAAGUUGCUCUCUCUCCCUAACAACUUCUAUGCUAGUAUCAAAAGAGCCAAAAUGUUUGUCUAUUUUAAAGUCUUUUGGAAUAAAAUGCACCUCAGGGAUUAGGUCGCUAUGAGCAAUCCUUGAAAAAAAUUGAGGGAUGAAAGGGUCUAGGUUCUAGAGCACACUUUGAAGAUUGGUCUCCGUAAAUAAAAGAGAAAAACUUAUUUACUUGAAAUCAAUGUUGAAUAGCUUGGUAAGCCAUUUCUGGGAAGGUUUUUCACCCAUUAUAUUAGGUGUCCUUGAUAGUUUUCAAUUGUCCGGAAGCAAGAUUAAAUAGAUAUUAAAAAUAAAUGGUAUUAGUUACUAGGCCGUUUAAGGGUAUGAUUCAAGGGGUAAGGACCACGAAGAUCUAGAGUUGAAAAUUCCCAUUCUCCAUAAACAAUCACGCGUCUGAUGGCCAGACUUUUCCUAGAAUCUGGCAUGUUUGUGAUCAGUUGCAACUGCUUUCUGCAAGCAGAAAUGAGGAAUUUUCCUCAUUUGUUUAGCUUAAUAGUGUAAAUGAAAAGAAUCUCCAGCAAUGACAACUCGAGAUUGAAUAACUGAUUUAAAAUAAAGCAACCCAUGAGAAUGUGGAUUGAGUUCGAAUGGACAAAUGAGAGCGGAAUUUGGGUAUAAUGCAAAAACUCCCUCACUAAUGAAGGUAAAGGUAAGCACAGCCCAACAUGGAACUGCUCCCUAGUGAAGCACAUGAAGUGUUUUUUGUGUGUAUCAGUUAGGAGAGGUGUGGUGAUGCACAAUAGUUGGAUGUCAACAUUGUUCGGAAUAUUGAAAUCCUUUUUGAAUUCAUCAGUGGCAAAAUCGUCCACAAUACGAACUAAAGUGCGGGUUGUGUUGUCUGAGGAGGAACCCUUCUAGGGUCUUUUCCUUUUCGUAGAACCUUCAGAUUUCUUCAACAUUCUGUAAGGGUUUGCGUUACUAAUAGGGAAAGUAAGGGAGAAAGAAACCCUAGAAAGAGACUUCUGAGUGCACUUUCGUGCAGAGUUCAAGGGACCGAACAAAGAAGAGAACUCUCUAUCCAGGAAAACAUGAAUGUAAAUGGAGUAAAUAGAACAAAAACCGGAAUUAGUAUAUAAAGAUAAUGAAAAAUAUGGGUUUUCCUCACCUAAACACCGAUAACGCAGGAUUGGUAGUUUGAUGUUAAUGGAAGAGAAAAAAACAAGAAUGUUGCGGUGUGGUAACGGUGCUGUUAAGACUCCAAAAGGAAAGAUGUCAUAACUUUUGGAAUUUGAAAAGGCAUGGUAUGUGUGUCAUCGGUAAGGGGCAUAAGAAACUCCCAAAGGUAGCUGGAAGGUACAUUGUUAUGAGCGUCCAAUACAAAAAAAAUUCAAGGUCCAAAAAAUCAAAGAAAAUAUGUUCCCGCUUAAAAUGAAAAAGAAUUUUCCGUUUGACCUCAGCCAAUGGUCAACAAAAAAUUGGGGGCAAUUGUGGGCAUUGUGGUAAAUGGGGAUAACGGGCCUACCUAAAGAACUAUCUAUUGAUUCGGGCUAGUUUGGGCCUCGAUUAAAAGCCCAUCUAGCCUAAUAGCCUAACUAACUUAAAUAGCCUAACAGGUAAAGUGAGAAAUAGAACGUGGGAGAACAACCCACAAGGAGUAGUGAAGGCAAUUAACGCUUGGGGCGGUAACCACUUGAAGUGGCUAAAAAGUGUCCCCAUGAUCUCCACGCCUAUCGAUAGUUGAAAUGUAUAUGAAUACAACUGGUAAGUCCAAAAAAAAAAAAAGUAUUGUAGCAUGAGAAAUAUUACCUUUUCUAGAAAACCUCAGCUAACUUAAUCAUUAGAGGAGGUGAUCCCGGGGUAAAACCGGGCGAGCCUUGUGUGGCAGGUAUAAGGAAACGCGUGGCGAGGAGAGGCCUAUUGCUCAAGAAAUUCUCAGCUCCAAUAGGCAUUACUUUACAAAAUAUUUUAAAAUGAUGGAGAUAAAAUAGGAAGUUUUAAUUUUGGUAAGUAGGAAGGAAACAACUGAGAAGUUUUUUUUUUUUUUUUUUUUCAGUAAAAGUGAUAACGCUAGAGUCAAGAUUUUGUAAUGCCUUAAUUCUAUCAUAAAAUGAAUUUAUGUAUACUUACACAAAAUUUUCAAUAGAUGAUUACUAUAAGAAAAAAAAUCCACCUUUUUUUAGCUUUAUUUUUAAUAUGAUUCUCAUUCUUAAAAUAAUAAAAUUUAAGAAAGUGUGUGUUUUUUUCCUCUUUUAUUAUCAAUCAUAAAAUUCAAAAUCUUUUCAUUUAAUUUGUUAAUGCUAUGUUUGGUUUAAGAAUGAUAGUAAAUAAAGAAAAUUAUUUUCUCACAUUUGAUUUUAUUAUAAAAAAUAAAAAAUAUAAUUAAAAUUAAUUAAAAACUUAUAUAUUUUCAAAUGAUUUAUUUGUUAUAUAAAAGUAUUAAAUUAAAUAAAAUGAGUUUGAAGUAAUAUAUAAAAAUAAUUUAUUUUCUUUAAAUCUAUUUUUAUUUUAUAAUAGAAUCCAAAGUUUUAUAAUACUUAAAUGGCAGAAAGAGAGCAAUCAAGCUUCAUGUGCUAGUAAUUUUUUUAUUUAUUAUUUUUUUUUAGUAUUUCUUAUUUGGAUUGAAACAAAAUCAAGGAUAUCAUACAAAAUUAUAAUAAAAUUUUAAAUCAUUUAUUACUUUCAAAUAGAUUAAGUGUAUAUUAUAUUAUACAUAAUGCUAAAUCAUAGAUGCUUCAAAUAAUUAAGAAGGAUAACUAAUUAUCUUUCUAUUAAAAAAAUAAAUGAUGUCAUUAAUUGUUGCAAACUAAUUUACAUUAUGGGAUGAUGAGUUGGUUGGUCAUUCUAUCAUCUUCAAAAUUAUCCUUGAAAAUAAAAGUAGUCCAAUAAUUAAUGAUUAAAUAAAAACAUUUCUUUGUCAUUUUUAAAAAAUAAAAUUUUCAUUUUAAUUUCUUCCACUCCUAUGAGGUGGUUAAGAAACCAAAUGCUUGUACAUAUUCUUUUCUUUUCUUUUCUUUUCUUUUAAUAUUACAUUUAUCAUUUUUUUUUUCAUUUAUGUAGUAAAAUUUUUAAAGGUGACUUCCUUAUUUAAUAAGAGAAGUAAGUGUCUCUCUCAAUUAGAGUUUAUAAUACCCCUUGGUUUUUAUAUUAUAGAAAGUUGAAUAAUUUAAUCAUAAAACAAAAGCAAGUGUGGAAAAUUAUAGUAAUUCCUAUAUAAAAUGUAGGAGCUCUUAGAAAUUUAUUUUGAAAAAAAAAAAUUUAAAAAUCAAUUCUUAUACAAAAUCAGGUAUUAAAUUUUUUUUUCUGACUACCUCAAAUUUUAAAAAUCUUGGAAGUAAUUUUUAAAAAUAUAAAAUUUAUGUUCCAUGCAAGUUAUUAGAUUUCAUAUAUAAAUUACUAUUAUUUUCCUUUUUUAGAAAACAUGAAAUUAGUAAGCGAGAGGGAACUAAUAAGACAUAUACAUUAAAAUCGAGGGAAAUAUGGUAUCCACAUUUUUUUUUAUGAAAAAUUAAAGAAAAUGGACAAGCCUAACUUAAUAAAUGGUUUGUAUGGAUUGAGAUUAAUAUAAGAUGAAAAUGACUACAUUCGAAUAUGCUAAUAUUCAUGUCAUUUUUUAGCUAUGUUAUCAUGUUAUAUCAAAAUUGUCAUCCUUAUAUUUGUUUUAUAAAUUUAAUAAUAUGGUACAUAACUUUUGCAUAACAAAAAGUUUAUAUGCUAAUCUUGCUAAAUGUAUGCCUAUAAACAAUAUUUUAAAACAAGUGUAUAAAAAUGGUCGUAAAAAAUUAAUAAUAAUGUUUGGAUUUAAUAAAAUAACUUUGAGAUUUUAGGUUUAAGAAAUUUUAAUGAUACUAGUUGGGAUUAUGGUAAUAUUGAAUUAUGAUUGACUGCAUCUAUAAUUAUAAUUAAAUAUUGAAUAUAUCUCUUUUCAUAAGGUACUAUGAAAUAAUCUGUAACAUAAUUGAAGCAUAAUAAAAAUAUUUAAGCUACUUUAGUCACUAUGCAUAUGAUCUUAAUAGAUAAAUGAGGAUAAUUUAUCAAUGUCUCAAAGUCAAAUAAAUAAAAUUAUCCAUGCCUAAAAACAUACAAAUUAAAAUCAGCAAUUUAAAUUAUUCAUGCUUAAAAACAUACAAAUUAAAAUUACUAAUUCAAAUUAUACAUGCUUAAAAACAUAUAAAUUAAAAUCCACAAUCCAAACAAAGAGUCUUUUAUGGCGUUCUCAUUCUGGUUCAAUACUACAUCUCUACCACCCUUCCAAUUCCAGAACCAAUAGUUAGUCAUGCUUCCAUGCGCAACCUGGCCAAUGGUUAGUCAUAGUUUAAUGAGCAUAUAUAUUAUGACAAUAAUUAUCCUGUGCUUUUUCAUCUUUAGAAAUGAAGCAAAGUAAGAGCAAAAUAAAUAUUAAUUCAGGCUAUGCAAUUUGAAAAACAUAUGAUAAUUGUUUUGGCCUAUCAAUUAAAAAAUGAAACUCUAAAUAAAAAUUUUAAUUAAUUCAAACAAAAAUUCUGGCCUACCAAAACAGCAGUGGUAAUAUGGCUUUUCUUUUUAAAUUCAAUAAUUCAUUCCAAAGAUAAAACUUUGAUAGGUCCUAAGACAUUUAUUAGAAAAAAUAAAGAAGUUUUAACUUCAGAUAGGCUUAAGAUUACAGGAUCUUUGAAUUUCAUAAAUUCUUGGAAUAAUUAAAAACAAAUAAAAUAAAAUAAACGCAUAAAAAAUGAAAAAAGAAAUUUGAAUUUUUUGACCAUAUCUAAUUUCGUAUUGAACUCUAUAUUCUUCCAAGUAAUCAUUUUAAAAUAUUUCUAUAUAUUUAAUUCUAUUAAAUAUUUUAAUCUUCAAUAAAAACCAAAGAGAGAGAAGGCAUACCAUAGGGAGUAGAAUUGGAAACCAGAUAUAUCUUAAAUUUUUUUUUUUUUUUUGUGGUAUGAUUUCUUUUCAUGAGAACCUUUUAUUGUAUUGUAAUGACUAAAUAAGAAAAUAUAGAUAUAAACUGAGAAGUAUAUAAGUUACAUGUUUCAAACAAUCUUUAUAGCCUUAAAAGGAGUGGCUGAGUUAGAUAAGUAGGGGGUAAAGUAAUUUUUUUUAUUUUUUUAAACAUGUAUUAUAAUAAAUAUACAAAAAAAAAAUUAAUAUUUCAUGAAGUGCUUUAUCAUUUAACAAAAUAAGUGAUUAUUGAUAUUAGUUAUGAAAGAAAAAAAUAUAUAGAAUAAAAAAUAAAACAACACAAUAGAUAAAGAAAAGUUUUAAUUAUUGAUAUUAUUUGUGAAAGAAAAGAACUUAUAAAGUAUGAAAUGAAAUGACAAAAAUAGAUAAUUUUUUUAAAAAAAUUUGUUUAAAAAUUAACAAAAAUUCAAACAAUUCUUUCAAAGGAAUUUUAAAAAAUAGCAAGAAAUGUGACCAUAAAUUUUAAAGAAUUUUACAUUUUUUAACAAAAUUUUAAAAAAUUCAAUAAUUUUACUAAUAAAUUUUAAGAAUCAUUUUUGAAAUAAUUAAAUUGAUAAAAAUUGUAUUUAAAAUUUAUUUCUAACAAUAUAAUAUAUCAACCUAAAAACUUAUCAUUAUCAAUAGUAAAUUGGUUGCGGCAUGAUUAAACCUAAAAACUUAGGAAUUUUAAAAUUCUUAAAGUCAACCAAAGCAACCUAAAUAAUCUAUCCACCUGAAUAAGUCCUAAUUUUUAUUUUUUUAUUUUAUUUAAAAAAAAAAAGAGUUUUCAAGUUUCAGACAAACCGAAACUGAGGGAUCUAAAAAUUUCCCAAAAUUUUGGGAUAAUUAAGAACACAUGAUUAAAAUAAAAUCAUGAAAAGAAAAGAAAAGAAAAAUAUAUCAACUGGGUUAUGAUUUCAAAUGUUAUAGAGAUAUUUCAUUUUUCACUAAUUCCAUCUAAUAAAUAUUUUAUUCAGUAGUGAAUGAAAUAAGAAGAUAGAGAACACAUACCUUGCUAGAGGUUAAAGAAACCCUUGAUGCUUUGGAAACUAGAGGUUUUUUUUCUUGGGUGAGUGAUCUUCUCUAUUAGCAGGCCUUUUUCUCGACGGCUGAGGCCAAUGCUUCUGAUCUUGGGCGUAUAUGAGAUGUAUCCCACAACUUUUCACUUUAAAGGAUGCGUUUUCGCCACAUGUAAAAGAGGCAUUACCAACAGGAUUGUCAAAGUGAGCCUUGAAGUUGUUCCACUUUCUGGAUCGAUACUUGCUUGGAAUGCGAAUUUGAGGGAAAUACGUCACCCACAGUGCUGGAUCUGAUGUGCUACCACUGUCGUAGCGUCUGCUGCUAUAUGAUAAACCGCUAAUAGAGUAUGUUUUACAACGAUGAUAAAAACUAAUAUUAUCCAGUCGUUCAGUUUGAUCACCAUGGGAUAUCGCCAAUUUACAUUCUGGAAUAAAACCAGAUGUUCUCACGCAUUCAUCAUCAUCAAGGGGAACAUGAUGGAAGAAUAAAACAAAUCCUAAUAACAAGUUAUUAUCUUCAUACCAAUUCAUUGGAAGUUCUACACUUACUUCACAUCCCAUUCUUUGAUGACUUACCCAUUCUGGUAUUCCACUACUUCCUGGAAUGAUAAUAUUAAGUCUCCGCUGCAGAAAAAAAUGUCAUGUAAAUCUCAUGUUUUUUAAAAAAUAAUAAUACUAAUAAUAAUAAAUAAAAAAUUAAAUUUUUUUUUUUUAAAAAAAGAUAAUUAUGCCAUGAAAAUGAUACCUGAAUUGGUGAUUUCAAGUGUUUGAGCAAAGAAGACCAGAGUAGACUUGAAGAAGUUUCAGUUUCCAGGGAUGGACAACCAUGUGCCUCUAUCCACCCUAGACUUGAUGGAAGCUCUCCAAUUACUUCAAGCAUCGGACAAUGAUUCAUGAGAAGGGUACCAAGCUUACAAAGUUGAGUGAUGCCAGCAGGUAUGCAACGCAUAUGGUUUUCACUUACGUUUAAAAAUUCCAGUGAGGAUAGACACCAUAAAUCAUUGGGGAUUUCUUCUUCCAUCAGAUUGCAACCACCUAGAUCUAGCAUUGUUAAGCAACAUUGCAGGCUUCUCAAAUUGUCAGGCAAGUUGUGGAGCUUUGGACAGUUACGAACAUGAAGACUAGUAAGACAUGUCAAAUUACCGAUGCUAUUGGGAAGAGCCACAAGGUUCUCACAAUUGAUCAAUUCCAAGGAUUUAAGACCUCUCAUAUGUUCGAUUGAUGAUGGCAGCUCUGAGAUACCCGUCUCACGUAAAAAAAGGCGUUCUAAUUGUUCCAUAUCCUCCGUGAUCUCUGAAAAAGCCUCUAGAUUUGAACAACCAUUGAGAGAGAGGCCUUCGAGGGAUUUCAACCCACAUAUACUGUUUGGAAGACUUUUCAAAUUUCUACAAUUUUCCAAAUUUAAGGGAUCAAGUCUGGUGAGAUGACCUACUGAGUAGGGUAAUCCUUUAAUAGCAGUCUCAUCUAGAAAAAGAGCCCAUAGAUUCCCCAUAUUUUUUUGGAUCUCAGGAAACCUCUCAAGACUUGAGCAACCACUGAGAGUAAGAAUUUCAAGGGCCUGCAAGUGCCCAAUGCUAUUUGGGAGUUCCUUAAUAGCGGUUUUCUCUAAAGAAAGCUCCUUCAAGCAUUUCAUAUUCCCUUAGAUCUCUGGAAAUUUCUCAAAGUUUGAGCAAUAUGAGAGGUUAAGAUUUUUAAGAGAUUCCAAAUACCCAAUGCUGCUUGGGAGUUCUUUAAUACCACUCCCAUAUAGACGUAGCUCCCUUAAACGUCCCAUAUUUGUAAAUACAUCUGAAAAGUUCUCAAACUUUGAACAUUCUUCAAGAGAAAGCAUUUCAAGAGAGGUUAAGGACCCAAUGCUAUUUGGGAGUUCCUUAAUAGCAGUCUCAUCUAAAAAAAGAUUCAACAAACAUUUCAUAUUCCCUUGGAUCUCUGGGAAUUUCUCAAAUUUGGAGCAACAUGAGAGGUCAAGAAUUUCAAGAGAUUCCAAAUACCCAAUGCUGCUUGGGAGUUCUUUAAUACCACUCCCACGUAAAUGAAGCCCCCUUAAAUGUCCCAUAUAGGUAAAUGUAUCCGGAAAUUUCUCAAACUUUGAACAUCCUUCUAAAUAAAGCUCCCUCAAAAAUUUCAUAUUCCCAUGGAUCUCAGGAAAUUUCUCAAAGUUUGAACAAUAUGAGAGAUUAAGGACUUCAAGAGAUGCUAAUACACAAUGCUACUUGGUAGUUCUUGGAUCUCACUCUUGUUUAAAUAAAGCUCCUUCAAACAUUCCAUAUUGCCAUGGAUCUCAGGAAACUUCUUCAAGUUUGGACAACAAUUAAGAUAAAGAACUUCAAGAGAUUCAAACUUCAUGCUGGAUGGGAAACUUCGGAGCUGUUCACAUCCUCCUAAAUUCAAGUAAGUCAAACUUUUGAGAUCGCCAAUAGAUGAAUGAAGUUCACGCAACCUUGUACAACCUUCAAGAUUCAGUCUCUCCAAAUUUGGCAUGCUUGAGAAUUUUGGCAUUUUGACCAAUUGUUUUGAGUUACUUAGAUCAAUGCCCUUUAAUUCUUUAAGACGCUGUAACAUAAGACAAUCUGUUAAUAAAAAAAAAUUCUUUAACUUGAAAAUUAUUAUAAAGAAAAAAAAUAAAUAAAUAAUGUUCAUACCUUAUUCCCUUUCCAAAGUUGUUUUAUGUUGCUAGACUUCAAGUUGAUUUCAAGAAGGUGCUUUCCAUAAAAGUUCCAAGGUAAAGACGUCAAAGUGCAUCUUUGCCAAUGAAGAUAUCUCAAAUCAUGAGGAAAUUCAAAGUCUUUUGGAAGAAGCACUUUAUACUCUUCUCUCGGCAAACCAUCAUGAUCAUUGCAAUAGAUUUUAAGCAACCUAAGUUUCUUCAUCUUGGGAAACACUUUUGUAUUGAACUGUAUUUCUCUUGAUCUAGACAAGUCCAAAGAUAUGGUUUGAAUAUUUUGCAUCUCCUGGAAAACAAUAAGGAAAAAUAAGGGAAGAACACAAGAUAAAAAUCCUAACUAUAAUUAUAGAGACAAUUAACCACUAAAAAGUCGAUUAUAAACAUUUAAAUAAAUAUUUAGGCAUUUAAUUCGUACCUCUUGUUUAGAAAAUGCAUCAUAAAUAUCAUCUACAUCCCACAAUCUACUCCAUUUGCAGGGGUCUCCAGGACAUUCUUCACGAACAAUUGCCCAACCCAUUUCUUGUAUCAAGUCAUGCAUUUGUAUGACGUUGUCUAAGAUAGUUACUAGACAUCUAUCACGAAGAACUCUUAUGUUGCAUGUUGCAAAUAAAUUGCAACCAUCUAAUAUUCUUGACACAAAAUCUUUGCAUUCACCUUUGAAAAAACACGCAAUGUCCAGGAAAACCUCCUUUUGAGAAGGAUCAAGCCCAUCAAAACUUAUUCUAAGCACAUCAUUAAUUUCCUUCAUAGGGUUUUUUUUUGAUUUAUCCGAUGCGCUUUUCCAUUCAUCUAUUGUCAUGCCCUGAAGAGAAGAACCUAGAACUUUAAGGGCCAAAGGGAGACCUUGAGCAUAUUGUACCAUGCAAUUUGAGAGGUCUACAUAAUCUUCUUUAGGAACAUUUUGUUUAAAGGCAUGUUGGCUGAAGAGUUGAAGAGCUUCCUCAUAAUGUAAUUCUGUAGCCUUAUGUGAUAUAGUCACUCCAUACUCAACCAACAGAUGUUGGUCUCUAGUUGUAAUGAUAAUUGUACUUCCUGGACCAAACCAUUUAGGACUUCCAGCCACUGACUCUAAUUGCUGCAAUCGAUCCACAUCAUCAAUUACAAUAAGAACCUUUUUUGAGCCAAGUCUGUCCUUUAUUAUAUUGAUUCCUUUAUUGAUAUUGCUAAACUUUUCAUCAUUCCCCACUAUAUCAUGAAGAAGUUGUUGUUGUAGUUGAAGUUGACAACCCUUGUUGAAUGUCUCUCUGACAUCUUGAAGAAAGCUAGCACCAGUGAAUUGAUAUUGGAUCUCAUUAUAAACAAUCUUGGCAAUGGUAGUUUUACCAAUUCCACCAAUUCCAUAUAUCCCAACCACACGAAUGUCAUUCAAGUCACUACUUAACAAUGACUUUAGUUCUUUUAGGCGAAAAUCCAUCCCAACUAUAUCCUCGUUAAUGUGCAAAAGCUUAGAAUUCAUUGAUCUUUUAAAAAUCAGGUUAACAAUUUCCUUAAUAUGCUUUGACUCAUACCUGCCAAUUAUAAAGUACAAUUUAACACUUCAUGAGUUAUAAUGAAUUGCAAAAAGAUAACAAAUAUUAAGUAAAUUUAUUGAUAUUUUUUUGCUUUUGUCAAUAUAACAAAAGUAAUAGGAUGUAAAAAAAUGUUAAAAGAACCCACUAUAUUGGGCAUUUUACAAAUAAUGAAAAGGCAAGUAGUUUUGAGCCAAGUGUUUAUAAGAUCACAAAGCAAGCUUUACUACACAAAAUUAUUAACUUGUUAAUUCAUAAUUUAAGACAACUAAAUCCUUACAACUGAAUUAAAUCAAAAGCACAAAUUAAGGAAGUUGGAGUUACCCAUCAUUCACAUGGAAACCACUUAGAUUGCUUGCUUCAGUCAAGGAAUCCCUCCACCUUUGCACCUUUUUCACAUCUACAUUUCUUUCAUGAAUGGAAAAUGCCUCUCCGAAGCUCCCUGUUUGCUUUUGCACAUCACAAGGAUCCACGUGGUAGAACACCGGAAAGACUAUUUGUUCCAUUUCUUCCCUGCACUCCAUGAUCUUUGCUAACUCAUCCAAACACCACUUGGAAUGAGCAUAGUUUUUUGAAAACACAACUAUGGAAAUUCUUGAUUCUUCAAUAGUUUUCAAAAGUUCUGAUUUGAUCUCUUCUCCUCUUUCAAGUUGAUCGUCUCUGAAAGUCUUAAUCCCCAUCCCAUCCAAAUUUACGAAUAAAUGAUCCGUAAAAUUGUUGCGGGUGUCUUCACUUCUAAAACUCAAGAACACUUCGAACUCAUAUUUACGGACUGAGGUAGAAGAAGAAGAGGGUUUUUGGGUAGAGGAAGCCAUUGUUGGACAGUUUCUAGAUGAAAGCUUAGAGAGAGUCGAGGAAGAACUUGGGCUUAGUCAAUACUUGAUACGCCGACGGCAUAUUUGGGUCCUCGUAUGAAGCAAAACUAUUUUUUUUUUUUGGUGGUUGUGGGGUGGUUGGAUUGUAAAAAGCAAAGAUCGAUUUUCCCAAUACAUUUAAGCAGGCGAUCCUCUUGCCAUUUUUUGGGUCCAAAUGCAUAAGCAUGUGAUUUGUCAGUUAAAUGUCAAGGAGUAAUGAGUGGGGAGGUCGGUGGCUUUUAUUAUUAUUUUUUAUAUUUUAAAUAAAGAUCAACAUUUUAAAUACAUGCUUAUUACUAAAAAAAAUAAAAAAAUUUAACAAAUUAAUUAAUUUUAAUUAUCUUAUUAUUAAAUUUCAUUUAACUUAUUAUGAAAAUGUAAAAACCAUAAUAAUGAUUUACUGAAAAUAAUCUCUAUGUUUUUUGUAUAUUAAUUAUUUAUAAAUUUAUAUAUAUAUAUAUAUAUAUAUAUAUAUAUAAUUUAAAAAAUAAAUAUUCAUAUAUCAUUAGUUAUUUUAUACCCUAAAAUACAUUCAAACUAAAUAGAACAUUAUUUUUAUAAUAAAUGUGGUAAGAUACUUUAUAAAGUACCCUUUUCUUUAUUUUUAAGUUUUCUUUUUCACUUUACAAACUCAUCUAUGUUGCUAAAUGUAUCCCUUUUUUUGUUUUACAAUUUUUAUAUUCUUUCAACUUUUCAAACUCAAUAAUCCUUUAAAAAAAAAUUAAUUUUUAAAACUUUAUCUUUUAUAAAAAGUUUCUAAAACCAUAAAAUUUUUAGAUAAAUUUAUUAUUAUAUUUUUCAUUAAAAAUAAUAAUAACAAUGAAAUUUUUUAUAACGAUGAACCAUAAUAUUUCAAAAUUUCACAUAAAAUCUCAAUUACUUUAAAACGAAUGUUAAAUUAUAAAGAAUAAAUAUAAAUAAAGAGAUAAUAAUUAUUUCAAUUAUAUUCUAUUAAAGCUUUUGUUUCUCUUGUCUAAUAUUUAUAUUGACUCAUACAUAUCUUUCUGUUCCUCCAAUCUAAAACCAUAAAAAAUAACACUAAGGCAUUUUACAUUGGUGAAAGAAUACAUAGCAUGAAUAUAUUUGAAUUUGCAAGAUAAUUAUAUCAUGCAUCACUAAAUUUAUCCAUAAAAAUAAACUUACGAAAUGUUGCAAAUUAAAUAAUAUUUUUUUAAUCAAGAUUGGAUUGAAAAGGAAUUUUAUGAAUAUUCUAAAAUUCAUUCUCCCAUUUGAUUUUCGAGCAAAUCCAUGCAAAAGCCCCAAGAAAAACCAAAAAAAUUGUUUUUUUUUUUGCUCCCUAUGUUUUUUGGAUUUGUUCUAGGGGUCUCCGUCCCCCAUUCAAUUUCCAAAAAAAUUCAUCAUCGUUUGAUUUUUGAGAAAAUCCAUGCAAAACCCCUAAUAAAAACAAAAAAAGAAAUUUUUUUUUUUUUUUUGCUCCCUGUAUUUUUUGAGUCUAUUCUAAGGGUCUCUACGCUUUUGUGCAAUUGGAUUUAAAUUUCACAAACCCUAAAUCCACGAUUUUUGAGUCAAGCUGAAAAACACAACAUUUACCAGUCAACCGGUGAGAGGUGUGAGUGGGAGCCGACUUCACUAGGAGGGAGGGAGAGGCGGACGGUGGGUAUGGAAAGAAAAAAAAUAUACAAUCUUAAUAUAAAAAAUGAAAUCGGCUUAGAAUAUAUAAAAAAAUAUAUAAUUUUUCACAUUAGUUUUCAGAUUUUGUAAAGUUGAAUUCGGAAAAGUAUAUAUCUGUGGAUUGAAACCAUCAAAACACAAGUUUCCAGAUCAUUUAUUCACAAUUGUCAGAGUGUAAUGAGUGGGGAGAUGGGUGGCUUUGAAAAAAAGUUAAGUAAUUCAAAAGCAACGGUCAUCAUGUGACAAGAAUCAUUUAUUCACAAUUGUCAGAGUGUAAUGAGUGGGGAGGUGGGUGGCUUUGAAAAAAAUUUAAGUAAUUCAGAAGCAACUUAAUUCAAAAGCAACUUUAUUUCCUUGCGUUUACAUACCGAAAAUGCCGUUCAUGUAUGACAAUAUUUCCAUGAUAUGGAGCUUCUAACUGUUCAGGAAUAAUAAAUCAAGUUCAAUCGAAAAUGAAAAUGUCAUCGAUAUUGCAACAUUUCCACGAUAUAUCGAGCUUCGGUGGGCUUGGACAUGACAUAAAGUGGUGAGAUUUCCUUUGCUCGAUUUUUCGGGGAGAAAAUAUAUUAAGCACAGUGAUUUUUAUUUUGGUAUUACUUUGACCAGUCAAAACCUUUCAAUAUUAUUGCCAUGGAUCCUUCCCCCUUUAAUUAUUUUUAUUUUUCAUAUUCUAUUUUAUAUAUUAUUAAAAAUAUAAAAAUAUCAUAAUAAUCUUAUUAAUGAGGCAUUCCUUAUUUUUUUUUAAAAACUUAGAUAUAAAAUUAUUAACAUUUUUAAACAUAAAAAUAUAUUCAUAUAUCAUUAUUUUUUUUUAUAUUUUAAAUAAAGAUCAUCAUUUUAAACACAUGUUUGAUUACUUAAAAAAAAAAAAAAAUUUAAUAAAUUAAUUAAUGUUAAUUAUCUUAUUAUUUAAAUUUGAAAUUUCCAUCUUAUGCAAAUUUCAUAAAUUUGAAAAGAUCUCAUAUUAAUUUUUUCCAAAAUUAUAUUAUAUUGUAUGAACCUAGAAAACUUUUAAAAACUUUAAAAAUAUUAAAGCCAUUAUAAAUUUUAUUUUAUUCAAGUUUUAAAAAAUAAAAUCAUUAUGGAUUUUAUUUCAUUUGAGUAUAUUAAAUCACUUUUUAAAUACAUUUUAAAAUGAAAAAAAUUAGAAAAUAAAAUCAUUAUGGAUUUUAUUUUAUUUGAGUAUGUUAAAUCACUUUUUAAAUAUAUUUUAAAAUGAAAAAAUUAGAGUGCGUGUAUUGCCAAGAUGUUGACUUAGGCAUUGGAAAAAAUAGUAUAUGUACAUAUAUUAUUAUAAUAAUAAAUAAUGAGAAGAAACAUACAACUUAUUGUUUUAGUUUUAAGAUUUUGUGCGUGUAACGAAGAUAGAAGGGUAAUGAAUUAAUUAUGUAUUGAAUUUGAAAAUUAAUAAAAAUUAUAAUAUUUAGUCAUGUAGUUAUAUUGAUGUAUGGUAUUUAAAUUCGUUCUAUUAAAUUUUUCCUUUUUCUAAUGAUAUAAAAUGGGUGCAUUAAAUGUUUAAUAAGACAAAAAUAAUAAUAAGAGGAUAUAAAUGACUCUAUAGAUAUUUUAAAAUAAGUGUAUAAAAAGGGUCAUCAAAAAUAUAAUUUUUGGAUUUAACAAAAUAACAUCUGAGUUUUAAGUUUAAAAAAAUUUAAAACUACAAUCGUCAAAGAUGGGACGUAACGAUACUAGUUGGGAUAUGGUAACAUUUUCCUUUAUAAAUAUACUAUAUUUAUAGAUAAAUAUUGAAUACAUAGGGGAUGUGCAUGGGGUCUGAAAGAUGGGUAUAUGUGAAUAUGGGUGUGAGGGAGUUAGUGAGAAAUGGAGAUGACCAAUACAUGCAUGGUUCUUAUGCACGAGUAGAAAACGAGUAGUGGGGCAAUGAAUGAGGCAUCUUGGCGUGGUGGGUAUGAAUGGUGGAAAGGCACUGAAACGAAGUGGGUUUGAAGGGUUCGGUGUGUGUGAGUAAAUGUCAUAUGGGGGUAUGAUGAGUAGUGGUACCCAUGUGCAUGAGAUUAGUUAUAUUGGGUGGUGUAGGUUGGUAAGAAAACGGUGUGCUAGAGAGAGAAAGGUGGUGAUGGGCAUUUAAGUUUAGAGGGAGAAACGGGUCUAGUGGGUAUGUGAAUAAUGGAAAUGCGUAAGAGGAUAUGAAGAGUAGGAUGGGUGGUAGUGGAGUAUGAGGUAUGAUUAGGAUGGGAAGGUGGCGAGACUGCAUGGGAGAAGCUGUUAAUGACGAGUGCAAAUGAGAGGAACAGUGACGAUAGAGUAGAUGCUGCAUGAUCAGCAAAGGCAUUCACAAAUUGGGGUGGCUGGCUUGAAGCUGGGGUUGAGACCAAAACAUUUAUCAUUGGAGGAGUUAGUGGAGAUCCCUUCAUCAAUGAUGACCAACCAGGCAUUGGGCUUGGAACACUACGAGGUAGUUGGUUGCUGCGUCCAUUAACAUAGCCUAGCCACAAAUAUGCUGAAGUAUCCAGCAGAUUCCUAGCAAUACAAACCUCAACAAUCAGAUGCCGCAUGUUUCCAGAACAGUUCAUUGACAAGUCAUUCAUGCUCAUGCCAUCCAGGUACCCACUCCCGGCCGUGAUGGACUCUGAUUCUUAGUUAAAUCUUAUUUUCCAAUUCCUUUCUCAGUCUUACCUACAUGAUCAACUUCACGUGAAAUAAUAGGACUUGAGCUCUCAUAUUCAAAGGUGUGUUUCAAUGGUUAAUUCAACACAGCUCCCUUCUUAGACACAGUCCUUGAAGAUAUUCCUGCACCCCUUCCACUAAUAUUUGACUUAUCAUCUAAGCCAGAGUGGUUAGAUGAAACCAUGCCUGAUGAUUGCUCCCUAUUAGGAUUUUCACGUACUCGAAACUCAGUGCGCUGGAUUCGUUUGGUUUCCUUUGAAAUCCACUAGAAUCUGCCCGAGAAGACUCAGGAACUGGAAAUGAUGAUCUUGGCCCAGAAUUCUUAACUGUGAACAUAUAUUUUUUGCCUUUACCAGCAAAUAUUGGGCCCUGAGCCUUUGACCCACUUAAAUCUCUGUCCCUUGAAAAAGAUUGGGAUGAUGUGGAUCCAUUUCGUGGCAGGCCUUCAGAUUCUCUGGCAUUGGACAAGGAAAUGUAGUUCUUUUUAAUUGUUUCAUGAUGCCCUUGAUCUGUCACUUGGAGUCCUAAUUCAUACCUACUAUUGUGUUCAACAAUAUGGACAUAUCAGCUAGGGCAUGACUUGUCAUAACACUACUGUUUGCACUUACUCUCAGGGGCAAUGACUACUUCUUUUGAUGCGUUGUCCUGUGGCAGAUCCAAGCUCCUUGGAACAAGACCAAGUUGACUGUCCAUUGGAAGGGACACUACGUCAAUCUUAGUGUUUUGAAUGGCUUGAACGUGGAAAAGCCAACCUUCAGGAUUCUGAUUGGUUGUAAAAUGGGCAGGGGCAUUGGGCUGAACAAAAGACAUUGGUUGAGGAGCCAGUGGUAGAAUUCCUUGGGAGAUAGGUGAUGUAUAUCUGAGUUGACCAAACUGGAAGAGAGGAGGCUAUGAUGUGUGUAUAUGGGUAAGUGAUGAACCAACUUGGGGAUGUAGAUGGAGAGGCAUCUGUAUGGAGCCAAUCUGGAGUAGCAGAUACAGUAGACGUAACCGCCUUCCCAUAUGAGGAAUGCAUGGCCACAUUAACAGAAGAGGGAGCGGGAUGCAGUGAAGUCUGACUAGAACUAAUAGAAGCAUCCACAGAAUUCAAAACAUUAGAUGCCACCGAGGUAUGAGGACCAUUAACCGGCUGUAUAACUAAAUCUUGGAUUGCCUUUCCUGCGUCUUCAUCCCUCCUGCCAGAACCAUCAAUGCUCACUUGAGGAGAGCCAUCAGUAAGUUGAGGGCUUUGUCCUUCAUGUAUCCCACCAAAAGCACCUUGUUCCUCUACAGUACCAAGAGAAACCUUCGAUAGCAUAAAUGUGCUUUCUUCAUUUCCUGAACUUCUCUCAAACUCAUCACUUGGCAUUCUAACUUCAACACCCUCAUCCAAGCCCAAGACCGAGUUGUCUACCGUGUGGGGAGAGCCUUUCUCUCCUAAAUGCACAUCCUCCAACUCCUUGGUCAGGUUAAUAUGCUCAUCUACUUCAUGCACUUCAUCUUCUUCAUCUGAACUCUCUCAGAAGCAUUUCGAUUAAAACGACCAGACCAAACAUGAUGCCCAACAAAUACAUGCAUAAAGUCACCUAGCCAUGAUAAGUGUGUUGCAACUCUUCAUACCCAUGGACUGAGAACAUAUUUCUUGCAGUACCUUACCUCUUCAGGCAGAGAUGGGAAAUCUGAUGCGGUCUACAGCCAAGCAACAGGAACAGAGGAAAACAGCAAACAGAACACAAAUAAUGGGAACCAAAUGAACCCCCACCAACCUCAUUUCACGUAUCAAUCAAUGAGCUUAGACGUAGGAGUGGGUCAAAGCAGAUUUCAAAUGAGUUUUAAAACAAAAUUAAGACAUGAAUGCCAAUAUCUCAUAAUCUCAAAACAGGGGACAUAAAACAGAUUAGAAAUCAAAGGCAAGUGCAAACAAGCUCAAAUUCCAUAAAAAUAAAAAUAAAAAACAAACUAAAAUCCCCAAUAAAUACAUUCAAACACCAAAAUAGAAUCUCAUGAUACCCAGAUAAUGCAAUAAAAUGGCAUGAACGUGGAAAAGCUAACCUAUAGAAAUAAUAUCUAAGCCUCCUUUUUUCAAGGCUCUUCCCCUGCGUGUUUCUUCUUGUCUCUGACUGGGUUUCUCUUCCAAGAAAAUACAACUGAUAUCCCUUUACCCAAGCAAUCUUACUCCUCGGGUAACCACACUGCAGCGCCCUCCCUCUGUAACCUCUCAAAACUCUCUCUCAUGUACUCCCUCAACAAGACUUACAUCUCAAGCUAACCUCUCACUGCCCAAAAUAUCUCUCCAAACAGCAGCGAAGACAUCACCCUCAAAAAAAAAAAAAUAUCUCUGUAAAAAAAUCACCUCCCUCUCAAUACGCUCUCUCUCCCCCCUCCAACUUGCUGCCCAAGCUAAAGGAAUCCCCUCUAGAAACCGAGUUUGCUCCCUCUCUAGCUAAAACUCUCCUCCCAAGCUCUCUGCAACUCAAAAAUAUCUCUCUCAAACCAGCCCACGGAAUACCCUCCUCAGACAACAACUUCUCCCUCCCUCUAGCUUGCUACCCAAGCUAAAGAUGAAAACCUCUCUAAAAAUAUCUCCUAAAAAAACCCACCCCUGAAAAACACCAUCUACUCCCUCAAAAUGUCUCCCCCCAAAACGACAACGAAGACCCCAACUAGCUGGCUACGCUCCUGCACCAGCUCACUAACGGCCUGCAACUUUUCCAAACUCUUCUUGACACGUGUCCACCUUAUUGCCUCUUCAAUCCACUAUUAUGAUUCCAUAGCAGCCAUCCCUGAAGCAACACGUGGCUCUUUGAGAGCCUUGGUAAGAAAAACUCACAGAAAAGUGAGAAAAAAUGAGCCCCUAAAAUGGGGGUCAACACAUGAUAAUUGUUACGGCCUAUGUAUUCAUAAAUGAAGCUUUAAUUUUUUUUUUAAUUAAUUCAAACCAAAUUUUGGCCUAAAAUAGAUACAAUAAUAUGAUCUUUCUUUUUGAAUUCCAUAAUUCUUUCCAAAGAUAGAAAAAAAAAGUUUUAACUUUAGAUUGCCCAAGAACAUAGAAUCUCCAAAUUUCAUAAAAUAAAUAAAAAACUAUUUAAAUGACUUGACCAUAUGUAAUUUCGUAUUGAACUCGGUAUUCUUCCAAGCAUGAAAUCAUCUUAAAAAUUCUUUAGAUAUAUUUUUUCCACUAAUUUUAAUAAGUAUUUUAACAUUCAGUAAAACCAAAAAUAGAGAGGCAUACCUUAUUGAGUUGAGAAGGAAGCAAGACAUGUCUUCAUUUUUUGUGGUUUGAGUUCUCUGCAUAAGAACUUUUGAUUUUAUUGUAAUGACAAAUUAAGAAAAAUAUGAUCUCAAAAUUUUUAAUCUAUGGUAAUGACCAAAUAAAAAAUAUAUAGCUAUGAAAUGAGAAGUAUAUCAUAAGUUACAUGUAUCCAACGUGAAGAUCAAAAGAUAUGGCAAAGAUAUAGCUUUGAAGGAAAGAGGUAGGGACCAGAGUAAAAAUAAAAAAUAAAAAAUAAAAAAAUCAUGAGUUAUAAUAAACACACAAAAACUUUUAUAUUUCAUGAAGUGCCGUUGAUUUAAAAAUAAUAAGUAAUUAUUGAUAUUAGUUGUAAAAGAGAAAAAUAUCAAAUAUCAAAUGAAAAACAAAAAUAGAUAAAAAAAAAAUAGUUUUAAUUAUUGGUAUUAGUUAUGAAAGAAAAAAAACCUAUAAAGGAUUAAAUGAAACAAAAAAUACAGAAAUUUAUAUUAAAAAAAUAAAAAAUAUUUUCAAAGAAUUAAAAAAAGAUAGCAAGAAUUUUUUUUUUAGUAGAAUUUUUCAAUUUUUUCUUUUGUAAAAAAACUUUUUAAAAAAUCAUUAAUUUUAAUAAAAUUUUAGAAUUUUUUGAAAUAAUUAAAUUGAUAAAUUUUCUAUUUAAAAUUUAUUAUAAUAUAGAGGUAGCACUAUCCUUAUCAAUAGUAAAUUAGUUACAACAUGAUUAAAUCUAAAAUUUUAGGUAUCUUAAAAAUCUUAAAGUCAACCAAAACAACCUACACUAAAAAAGUUAUUUAAUAAACUAUAAAUUAUUUAAAUUAAAUUAAAUUUUAUUAACAAUUAAGUAGAAAUAAUCUAAAUAAUCAUAUAGUCAUUUGUAGUUUAGUAACUACUUAAUUAAAUUUAAAAAUUUAAACAUUUAACAAAUAUCAAAAUCAAACCAAAUAUCCCAUCACUAAAAAUAUUAACUUUAUAAUUAAAAAAACAUUUUUAAAAAUUUGUUUUAUGAUAUAUAUUACGAUUUAAAUAAAAUUAAUUUUAUAAGCAUUAAAUAAAAUAAAAAAUAUGAUAAAUAAAUAUUUUAUAAAAUCUAUUUAGUAUCGGCAUUUAUCUAAUUUCUUUUUUUUCAUACAAAAUCGUUUUAUGAGGAGCUGAAAGCUUAUAUUUUGGCUUUUUAUUCUUUAACAUUCCUAAAUAAAUAGAAGGAUAUUUUGCCCCAAGCCCACCAUGCUCCUUCACUAGCCCUAGGUCAUGCUCUCACCUUUUAGAUUGUUUAUAAAUGGAUGCUUCGCUUUCUCACAUUACCAAAUGAGAAAAAGGCCAAAGCGAGGGCAAAAUAACUAUUAAAUUAUAUAUGUUUCACGUAAAUAGAGUUUUUGUAACAUAAUCAAUCAAUUUAAGAAACAUAUCAUAAUUAUUAUUAAGCUCUAAAUAUAUAGUUUACGUGAAAAUAUUCACCUUCCAUUUUGCCUCCUAAAUUGCAUGCUUUUGACUACCUUCAAAAUUUCGAUAAUCUAUUCCAAAUAUGAUACUUGAAUAAGUCAUAAAGUAUUUUUUUUAAAAAAAGAAAAAAGAAAAAUGAGUUCUAACUUUCAAACAAACCUAAGGUAGGGGUUCUCAAAAUUUCCUAAAAUUUUAGGAAAAUUAAGAACACAUAAUUAAAAUAAAAUCAUGAAAAGAAAAAAAAGGAAAAAAUGACUCACUAGGUUAUGAUUUUAAAAAUUAUUUAGAUAUUUCUUUUUUCACUAAUUCAAUCUAACAAAUAAUUUAACCAAUGAUUAGUUAUGGUUCCAUGAUAUGAUGAUGAUAGUUGUCCUCUACUUUUUCAUCUUAAAAAAUGAAGCAAAAUAAGUAUUAAUUCAUGCUUUAAAAGAUGAUUAUGCAGUUUAAAAAACAUAUGAUUUGGCAUACCAAUUUAGAUAUGAAGUUCUAAAUAAAAAUUGUAAUUAAUUCAAACAAAAAUUUUGGCCUACCAAAAUAGCUACGAUUUUUCUUUUUAAAUUCAAUAAUUCAUUGUAAAGAUAAAGCUUUGAUAGCUGCUAAGAUAUUUAUUAAGGAAAAAAAAAGUUUUAACUUUAGAUAGGCCAAGAAUAGGGGAUCUCCAAAUUUCAUAAAAUCUUUGGAUGAUUACAAACAAAUAAAUCAAAAUAAAAGCUUAAAAAGAAAAAACUUAUUUAAAUGACUUGACCAUAUCUAAUUCGAUAUUGAACUCCAUAUUCUUCCAAUCAUCUAAUCAUUUUAAAAAUUUCUAGUAAGUAUUUUAACCUUCAAUGAAACCAAAAACAGAGAAGGCAUACAUUAUUUGGGUGAGCUGGAAACAGGGAUGUCUUCAUUUUUUCUAGUUUGAGUUCUUUGUAUAAGAACAUUUUAUUUUAUUGUAAUGAAUAAAUGAGAAAAAUAUAAUCUCAUAAUUUUUAAUCUAUUGUAAUGAGUAAAUAAAAAAAAUAUAGAUAUAUAAUUAGAAGUAUAUAAGUUAAAUGUUUCAAACCAUCUUUUAUAAGAAUAUCAAAAGAUAUGGCCAUAAAGGACAACGGAGUUAGGUGGAUAGGGGGAAAAGUCAAAAGACCAAAAAAAAAAAAAAACUCUUAAUUUAUAAUCAACAUACAAAAACUUUUAUAUUUCAUGAAGUGGUCUAAGUAUCAUUUUAAAAAGUACGUAAUGAUUGACAUUAAUUAUGAAGGAAAAAAAAUAUAUGAACUAACAAAUGAAACAAGAAAAAUAGAAAAAGAAGUGUUGUAAUUGUUGAUAUUAGUUAUGAAAAAAAAAUAAAAACUAUCAAAUGAAACAAGAAAAAUAGAUAAAGAAGUGUUGUAAUUGUUGACAUUAGUUAUGAAAAAAAAAUAAAAACUAUCAAAUGAAACAAGAAAAAUAGAUAAAUAAGUGUUUUAAUUAUUGAUAUUUGUUGUAUUAUGUGACUCAUAUUGAGUGAAAGACAUAUAGAGAAAAAUGUGCAAAUACUGAAACAAAGCGAAGUGAAACGGAGCAGAGUAACAACAUUUGCCAUUCAAACUUGUAUUUUUAUUGUUGUGGGCGAAUGAUAGGUUGGGAGGGUUCGAGGAAGGGGGGCGUCUUCCCGCAAUAUAGUGUAGGGGUAUUUUGGAAUUUCAUUACCUAAGGGUUAGUACAAAUACCCUUUUUAUAUAACCCUAAUUUUAGAUAUAGUGAAAGUUUUCUUCCCUAUUCUCGUGGAUGUAGACAAUCUGUUGAACCACAUUAAAUUUGUGUGUUUUUCUUUUCAUUUUCUCUAAUUUUCACCAUAAAUCGUUGCAUGAAACUUAACAAUUGGUAUCAAAGCGUCAGGUUCGAUGUCAGGGAUUUCUUUACGAAGUUCGACAUAGUCAAGUUCGAUGGAUUCGGGAAUUUCGAUUUAUGGCAGAGGACGAUUAAGGAUCUAUUAGUGCAACAAGGUAUGGUUGAUUACUACUCAAAAAGUGUUAUUUCAUAGCUUGUAAUUAACUCUUUUAAACAUUUUUGAGUAUUGGUUAUUACCUUUUAACCCAAUUAACAUGUUAAGGACCCUUGUAAUCAAUUCUAAUAAAAAAUGUGUUAAGUUUUGGUGUUUUGAUAGCUUUUUGAUCACCAAAGCAAUCUGAGAUUGAAGAGAGUUCUUUGGAAUCCAUGCAAGGAGUAUACCCGGACAGGGUGUCCGGAUACACCAUCGGAGGGCAUCCGGACAAUACAUCCGGAUAGUGGAAGUGCGCCACCAUUCCAUCCGGCUGCCGCCACUUUAUACCCGACUGCCGCCACUUUACACCCGGAUGCCGCACUUUCCACCCGGAUGUAUCACAUCCGGAAAUCUGCUGCCGCCGCCAUUACAUCCAGAUGUCUCACAUCUGGCACAUUAUAUCCGGAUAUUUUGCAUCCGGCGCCUGACGCCGGAUGGGAGAGGAGAGCGUUUUGCACAGUGUCACGGUGUUCUCUUGAAGCUUCCCGAUAUUUGCACCGAAAUUUUGGGAUAUUUUGAGAUAUUUUGCUUUAGAUAUUUAAUGUCGGUGUUCUCCUGAAGCUUCCAGAUAUUUACGACUGACACUUUGGGAUAUUUUGUUUUAGAUAUUUUAUGUCUAAAUUCCCAAAGUCUCCUUGUAACCCACCAAUUAUAGGAUUCCUUAGUCUUUAAGUAAGUACAAAGGGUAAAUAACCCUUUAUAUAUAGUUUGUAAUCUUCUUUGAAAGAAGGAUCAGAAUUAGAUCUCGGGAGCCUGUUCCCAAGGAGGUAUAUCCUGGGAGCUUGUUCUCAGAGAUGCAUCCUUUGUACAGUUUUGGGAAGGAAGUAAAAUACAGAGUACUUGCUCUGCUUUUGUUUUCUCGUUAUUUUCUUUCUAGCUAAUCAAAUUCUAAGGAUUUUUCCUCAGAGGAUGAGAGGUUAGGCUCUUUGUUUCUUGGAGUGAAGAAAGCCGAGUAAAUUUCCUCAUGCAUAAAUUGGAAGUUUUGUUGUUUUAGUUUUUAAUGAAGAGAAAGUGUGACCCAUUAAUGGUUUUUAUCUUUUUAGUUAACUUAAAACGCCUUUAAAUCACCUGGGCCAACACUUGGUAAGCUUUUGGACUCUACGGAGACAUCCAUUAGUUAUCUCUUGCGAGCUUUUGACGGGUAAUCCAAGGUUAAAGAUCACCUUGAAUGGCAAGUGCUAGGUGAGAGGUAUGAGCCACUGCAAGGUGCAUCAAUGAGAGAGAUUUAGUGUUUGAACCCAUUAAUGGGAAGCAUCUGUACCACACCGGUUCGGGAAAUAACUAUAUGUUAAAUCCCCAAUGCGAGGAAAAUAAACGAGUGACCGGAACUCUCCUUUUUGUAUGAGGAAUCUGAACCUAGUGAUCUAAACUCCAAGAGACACUUUUCUUUAUAAGUAAAAUCAGUUACUAUUUUUGGUUAGUUUAAAACCAAACCUUUUUCCGCUAAAGAUUAUGUUUUCUUUUAAAGCUAACCUUGAAAUGAAAAGGCAUCAAUUCAACUUUGAAUUAAUAUCAAUUGUGAAGUGAAAACCCAUCCCAGUGAACGAUCCUAGAGCCACUAUGUUAUAGUAGCUUUGUCUUUACUACCCUAGUUCAUGGUGUAAUAGGUUAUAAAUUUUGUUGAUUACUCCCUCAAUCAAGGAGCACCAGCUGGACAUGAAUCAGCUGAUACACCAAGUGGGCACGAAUCAAAUGGCGCCGUUGCCGGGGAUGGUGCCACUUUACAGUGAUAUGACCUUUUCAGAGUACUUGUGAUCUUCAUCACAAGUUUGGUGACUUUUCUUUUCCUUUUACUAACUCUUUUUAUUUGUUUAUUUUCCUUUGUUCAUGUUUUAGUAUAUCUUUUAUUUAGUUUUUAGUUAAACUUAAUAAUUUUCUUUAGAAUUUUUUUUUUCUUUUGUUUUCUCUGUUUUUAAUUCAGAAAUUGCUAGUUGUGCAUGCCAUAUUGAAUACGAGAUAGCAGAGGAAGCCAUUAACUUCAUGAGUUAAGUGGCUAAAUUUUCAAGAGGAUGGGAUGAACCAAAUGUUAGAAAUAUGGGCAGAAUGACAUCUCAACCUAAAACUAAGGGUGAGAUGUAUAUUUUGAAUGACGGCAUGAACAUGAAGGCAAAGAUUGCAGCUAUGGAAAGGAGAUUGGAAGAGCUAGAAAUGAACCAGAUGCAAGAAGUGCAAGCCAUCUCUCAGACACCAUUGCAAGCUAUGCCUUGUGCCAUUUGUCUAUCUUAUGAGCACUUGGUGAAGGAGUGUCCUACCAUUCCAGUGGCGAGGGAAAUGUUUGGUGAUUGCAACACCUACAAUUCCAAUUGGAGGAAACAUCCAAAUUUCUCUUGGAAACCACAGCCACCUCAGUACCAGCAACCUACUCAAGCACCACAGCAAGCCUCAAACCUUGAACAAGCUAUGAUGAAUCUUAACAAGGUCAUGGGAGACUUUGUUGAAGCUAAAAAAUCCAUUGUUGAUCAAGUCAGGCAAGAAAUUGACAGCCAAGACAAAAAGACGGAUGGGAGGUUGAAUGAUCUGUCUCAGAAGACAGACAAUCUCGAAUACACAAGCUCAAGGUUUGCCAACCUCAACGCAAUGCAAGAGAAAGAAAACUUUCUUUUUCAACCUCAUAAAAAUCAAAAGGGUAUCCAUGAAAUAGAGGUUGGGGAGAGUGAUAAAGAGGUUGAUCUGCCCGCAUGCAAGCUAGAGCAUGAGGUAGAGAGUGAAACAGAGAAAGAAAAGAGGGAGGAAAUCAAAGGAAAGAGAAAGGGGAAAAGUACAGAGAAAGAUGACUGUAUAAAUGAAAAAUCACAGAGAAUAGUCAUCAAGGAAGAAUUGAUGAAGAAACGCAUACCUCCACUUUUCCUCCAAGCUUUGUAUGGGAAAAUCAUACAAAACAAAUCCCAAGUGAGGGAUGCAAACUUCAUAUGGGAUCCGGGCAAGCUAAAUCAGGAUCAAAUUUUUUUAUGGACUUAGUCUUUUUAAAGACUAGCUAGUCCAUAUCUUUUUGUUUUGUUUUUUACUUGUUUUAAUUUUGAUUUUAAUGUUUUAAAUUUUGAUUUAAAUGCUUUAAUUUUGAUUUCAAUGCUUUAAUUUUAAUUUGUUUUGAUGUAAUAUAGGUUUUUGGAUGAUUAAAAUCAAGAGGAAUGUCAAAAGAGUUGAAAGAAGGAAGUUGAGAAUCAAGAAGAGCUCAAAAAGCAAGGAGAGAGCAUGGCCUGCGAAAUUUCGCAGCAAAAGUGAGCCGCUGCGAAAAUCGCCCCCCUCGCUGCGAAAUGGUUUCACAGCCUCCAAGCGCCCUCUGCAAAAAUUUUCACAGCUGCGAAGAGGUCCCUUGGCACACGAGUGCCAUUUCGCAAGCCUGUACACCCGUUUCGCAGCUGCGAAAUGGCUGCGAAACCUCCACGCCUUGAAAUCCUCCAUUUCGCAGCCGAUGAGCCAUUUCGAAGGGUGUUUCGCAACUGCGAAACCACCCUUUGGCACACGAGUGCCACUUCGCAGCACCCGUACGCCCAUUUCGCAACUGCGAAAUGGGCUGUGAAAAUUGCCCUCCUCCGCGAAAUCCACCCCCCGCUACGAAAAUGCUCAAAGCUUCAAAAAUGGGCUGCAAAAUUCCCAUUUUGUUGCCAAAUGAUUUCCAAACUUCCAAAUGGCUGUGAAAUGAUCUCCAAGCUUCAAAAUGGAUGUAAAAUGGCCUCUAAGCUUCAAAAAGGCUACGAAAAAGCUCCAGGCAUCAAAAUGGGCUGCGAAAUGAUUUCGCAGCCCCAUAGCUACCCCUUGUGAAAUCCUCCAUUUUCUGUAAAAAUGGCCUUUUGAUUGCGAAAUGAUUUUCCAAACUUCAAAAUGGUUGUGAAAUGAUUUCCAAACUUCGAAAUGGGCUGCAAAAAUGUUUUUCUUUUUUCCUUUUGGCUUCGAAAUGGCUAAGAAAUGGCCUCCAAGCUAUGAAAUGAUUUGCAAAAACACUUUGCAAAACCAAGGGAAGUUGCAAAAAUGCCAACAAAGCCAUGCAACCAUGCAUCUAAAGAGGAGAGCCCUCUCACUGAGAUCACACACAUGAAGCCUCUCACUCCACUUCUUACCUCCUAAAACCAUAAGAGCCCAUAGCUCCAGUUGAGGAGACUAUGCCACCUAAGGAGACUACCAGAAUAGAGGCCAAAGUCAUGAUCCAACCUACUCAAGAGGCCACCACAGAUGUAUUAACACCACAGAUGCAUCAGCUCCACAGGACCUUACCAUUAUUUGAUCAUCUCUUUACUUUUUGUCUUUACAUAUUAUAUUAGUAUACAUAAUUCCAUGUUUUGAUGUCUUAUAUUCUGGGAUUGGAUGUAUUACUGAUGAUGCAUCAUAUAUAGACAUCAAUUCUUGUUUAAAACUUGGCAUUUUUCUAUUUGCUCUACUCACUAUUUUUUUUGAAACAUGUGGUUUCUCCUAUACGACUCAGACUCCAUGUCACCCAGGAGGUACCACUUCCUCCCUAUUAUUCAAUCGUGUUGUCACAUUGAGGACAAUGUUCAUCUUGGUUGAGGGGAGAGUUGAGGAAGUAAGUUUUGUUAAUAAUGCUAAGUUAUUUUGGUAAUUUAGUUGUUUUUGUUUAAUUUUUAAAAUUUUUUGAAAGUUUUUUAUUCUACUCUCCAUGCUUAUUAAGGAAAAAUUUUCAAAAUGAAAAGGGAGAAAUUGAAUUUUUGUCUUUUUACUUAACUUAGAGUUUGUAUUAUGCUUAUUAAAGUUGAUGAAUUGUUGAAACUUCUAUUGAAUUCAAGCUUAUGUCUUCCACUUUAAGCUAUUCACACACUGUGCACAAUAGGUUCCGAUUAUAAGAUGAAAAACUAUUUCCCUCUUGACUUAGGAAAAUUUAGACUUGGUACCUUUGACAUCAUUUAAUAGUGUUGGGACACCUUAUAAAAGGCCAAUGAGUCUUUGAAAAAAAAAGAAGAAAGAAAAAUGUUUGCUUACCUUGAAACCCGAGCAAGGUCCGAGGGGUAUAUGGUAAAAAUCUUUAAAACCUGGUGCCCUAAGCCUUCAUUGGUUGGGAGUCACCGACCUCAAUACUCGUUACAAGGGUGAAUAUGUGGAGUUUAACAUACUGUAGGUGCUUAGGUAUAAAAAUUCAUUCUUAAAAGUCCGGGGUAAAAUCCGAGGAGUUAGUCGUUGAAAAAUCCUUAAAACUUGAUGCCCAAAACCUUAAUUGGUUGGGAGUCAUCGAUGGAUCCCCAUUACAUGGACAGUUUAGAAAAGAAAUACCUUUAAGCCUUGUACUCCUACAAUGAAAAAAAUUGUGAAAAAAAAAGGUGCGUUCUUAGCCUAUUGGAGGUUGAUCAGUUUGCUAAGCUUUGAAAAAAGAACUAGGUUGGGGGGAGAGAUUAGUUCAACAUACUAUAUUCGGAAGCUAAUAAAUAACACUUAGAUUUUUGUGGAAGAGUAAGGUUUGACCAUUUGGGAGUGGAAACUCUUUUAAAACUUAAAUUUGCAUAAUGCCUUCUCUUUAAGAAUAAUGAUUAGACAAGUUAUUUGAUAACUCUUGUUGAAAUUUGAGUUUUAUUUCUUUAAAUGUUCCAUGUGAGAGGUAGAUCAUCAUGCCACUUGAAAAUUGUUUUUUGAUCAAGCAUGAUGUUGUAAAUUAUAGUAUUGUUUAUUUUUAUUUUUCUCUUCUUCAUUGCUAAGGGACUAGCAAUAUGUCGGUUGGGGGGAGUGAUUACUACUCAAAAAGUGUUAUUUCAUAGCUUGUAAUUAACUCUUUUAAACACUUUUGAGUAGUAGUUAUUACCUUUUAACCCAAUUAACAUGUUAAGGACCCUUGCAAUCAAUUCUAAUAAAAAAUGUGUUAAGUUUUGGUGUUUUGAUAGCUUUUUGAUCACCAAAGCAAUCUGAGAUUGAGGAGAGUUCUUUGGAAUCCAUGCAAGGAGUAUACCCGGAUAGGGUGUUAGGAUACACCAUCGGAGGGCAUCUGGACAAUACAUCCGGAUAGUAGAAGUGCGCCCCCAUUCCAUCCGGCUGCCGCCACUUUACACCUGGAUGCCGCACUUUCCACCCGGAUGUAUCACAUCUGGAAAUCUGCUGUCGCCGCCAUUACAUCCGGAUGUCUCGCAUCCGGCACAUUAUAUCCGGAUAUUUUGCAUCCGGCGCCUGACGCCGGAUGGGAGAGGAGAGCGUUUUGCACAGUGCCGCGGUGUUCUCUUGAAGCUUCCCGAUAUUUGCACCGACAUUUUGGGAUAUUUUGAGAUAUUUUGCUUUAGAUAUUUAAUGUCGGUGUUCUCCUGAAGCUUCCAGAUAUUUACGACCGACACUUUGGGAUAUUUUGCUUUAGAUAUUUUAUGUCUAAAUUCCCAAAGUCUCCUUGUAACCCACCAAUUAUAGGAUUCCUUAGUCUUUAAGUAAGUACAAAGGGUAAAUAACCCCUUAUAUAUAGUGUGUAAUCUUCUUUGAAAGAAGGAUCGGAAUUAGAUCUCGGGAGCCUGUUCCCAAGGAGGUAUAUCCUGGGAGCUUGUUCUCAGAGACGCAUCAUUUGUACAAUUUUGGGAAGGAAGUAAAAUACAGAGUACUUGCUUUGCUUUUGUUUUCUCGUUAUUUUCUUUCUAGCUAAUCAAAUUCUAAGGAUUUUUCCUCAGAGGAUGAGAGGCUAGGCUCUUUGUCUCUUGGAGUGAAGAAAGCCGAGUAAAUUUCCUCAUGCAUAAAUUGGAAGUUUUGUUGUUUUAGUUUUUAAUGAAGAGAAAGUGUGACCCAUUAAUGGUUUUUAUCUUUUUAGUUAACUUAAAACUCCUUUAAAUCACCUGGGCCAACACUUGAUAAGGCAAGUGAUCUCCAUCCAUUGAGAUGCACUAGUUUAUCUCUUGCGAGCCUCUGGGAGGUAGUUUGAAGGUAGGAUUUUCUAGAAUAGCCAACACUUGGUAAGCUUUUGGACUCUACGGAGACAUCCAUUAGUUAUCUCUUGCGAGCUUUUGACGGGUAAUCCAAGGUUAAAGAUCACCUUGAAUGGCAAGUGCUAGGUGAGAGGUAUGAGCCACUGCAAGGUGCAUCAGUGAGAGAGAUUUAGUGUUUGAACCCAUUAAUGGGAAGCAUCUGUACCACACCGGUUCGGGAAAUAACUAUAUGUUAAAUCCUCAAUGCGAGGAAAAUAAACAAGUGACCGGAACUCUCCUUUUUGUAUGAGGAAUCUGAACCCAGUGAUCUAAACUCCAAGAGACACUUUUCUUUAUAAGUAAAAUCAAUUACUAUUUUUGGUUAGUUUAAAACCAAACCUUUUUCCGCUAAAGAUUAUGUUUUCUUUUAAAGCUAACCUUGAAAUGAAAAGGCAUCAAUUCAGCUUUGAAUUAAUAUCAAUUGUAAAGUGAAAACUCAUCCCAGUGAACGAUCCUAGAGCCACUAUGCUAUAGUAGCUUUGUCUUUGCUACCCUAGUUCAUGGUGUAAUAGGUUAUAAAUUUUGUUGAUUACUCCCUCAAUCAAGGAGCACCAGCUGGACAUGAAUCAGCUGAUACACCAAGUGGGCACGAAUCAAUGGUGAAGGUGUUAUCCGGAAAACAACCAAAAAGAAUGAAUGACAUGGAUUAGAAGGAUUUGGAAGCAAAGGUUGCGGCAACUAUCAGGCUUUGUUUGGCUGAUAAUGUGAUGUACCAUGUCAUGGAUGAGGAAUCAUCGACGAUAAUUUGGUUGAAAUUGGAAAGUCGGUAUAUGUCUAAGUCAUUGACGAACAAGUUGUAUCUGAAGUAAAAACUGUAUGGUCUUAAGAUGGUAGAGGGCUCAGAUCUAAGCCAGCAUAUCAAUGUGUUUAAUCAUAUCAUUAGUGAUUUGAAGCGAAUUGAUGUGAAGUUCGAAGAUGAAGACAAGGCGUUGAUGUUAUUGAAUUCCCUUCUUGCUUCUUCUACAUAUGAAAAUCUAGUUACAACUCUGAUGUGGGGAAAAGAAACUCUUGAUUUGGAGGAUAUCACAAGUAUUCUUUUAGGAUUCAAUAAGAAGAAGAAAGCCAAUAAUGAGAGUUCUCGGGGUGAAGGGCUUGUGGCAAAAAGUAAUCAGGAACGUGGGAGAAACAAGUUUCGGAGCGAAUCGAGUAACAAUAAAUCUCGAUCUAAAUCCAAGAAGAGAAAUGACAUACAAUGUUAUAAGUGCGAAAAAAAUAGGGCACAUGAAACGAGAUUGUCCAGAGAAAAAGAAAGAGGGCUCGGUAUCGAAAAAUAAAGAGGGUAUCAAAGUCUACAAAUGCAGUGGUAGAAGAAGACUCAGAGAGUGGUGAUGGUGAUAUGUUGUUGGUUUCAUCCAGUUCAAAUCAUCUUACAGAUUCUUGGAUCUUAGAUUUAGCAUGGUCUUAUCAUAUGACACCCAAUAAAAAUUGGUUUAACACAUACAAGUUAGUAAAUUCUGGUUCUAUUAUGAUAGGUAAUGAUGUUUCAUGCAAACUUGCUGGAAUAAGGAAUAUCAUAAUUAAAAUGUUUGAUGGUGUUGUUAGAACAUUGUGUGAUGUUAGACCUAUACUUGAUUUAAGAAAAAAUAUGAUUUCUUUGGGGACUUUAGAUUGUAAUGGGUUUAGUUACAAGUCUACAAGUGGAGCAAUGAAGGUGAGUAAAGGUGUUAUGAUAGUGAUGAAAGGGCAGAAGCUAGCAAGUAAUAUUUAUAAACUGUUAGGUUCCAUAGUUGUAGAUGCAGUUGCAACUGUAGAGUCUGAGUCAGAUAGUACAGUUUUAUGGCAUAUGGGUGAGCGUGGGAUAAUGGAGCUUUAUAAGAGAAAUUUGUGUCAAAACAUGUAAACUUGAUUUAUGCAAGUAUUGUGUUUUUGGGAAACAGAAUAAAGUGCAGUUCAAGAUAGCCACACACAAAACAAAGGAGUUUCUUAACUAUGUUCAUACAAAUGUUUGGGGACCAAUGAGAGUAGCAUCAUUGGGAGGAAAUAUGUAUUUUGUGACUUUUAUUGACGAUUACUCACUAAAGGUUUGGGUGUACUUCAUGCGGCACAGGUCAAAAACAUUUUCCAAGUUUAAGUUAUAGAAAGCUGAAGUAGAAAACUAGACAGGGAGAAAGAUAAAGUGCCUCAGGUUAGAUAAUGGUACUGAGCAUACAGAUUCAAAAUUCACAAAAUUGUGUGAGCAGCAUGGGAUAAAAAGACACUUCAUAGUAUGCAAGACACCAGAACAGAAUGGUGUAGCAGAAAGGAUGAACAGAACAAUAGAUGAAAGAGCUUGAUGUCUCAGAUUGAAUAUAGGGCUUGAAAAGAAAUUUUGGGCAGAAGCAAUGAACAUGGCAUAUUACUUGAUCAACAGGUCACCCAGAGCAGCAUUAGAUGGGAAAGUAGUAGAAGAGGUAUGGACAGGCAGUCCGAUAGAUUACUUUGGUUUGAGAGUAUUUGGGUGCCCAACUUAUGUGCAUAUUUCUAAUGAGGAAAGAUCGAGCUUGAUGCGAAGUCUAGACAAUAUGUUUUUUUGGGGUAUCAGAAAUGGGUGAAAGGCUUCAAGCUCUGGGAUCCAAAGGCAAACAAGGUGGUGAUCAGUAGAGAUGCGAUUUUUGAUGAGAAAGUCAUGUUACAGUGUACUCAGAAAUGAGAGAAACAGGAACCAAAAAAUGGCAGCAAUAGUGAGCAACUGAUACAGGUGGAAUUAGAGACCCAUGAUAUAGAGGAUCGUGCUCGAAAUGUAAGGAAGUCUAGUUCAGAAGAUUAAAAGCAUCACAGUAUAACCACAAACAGACAUAGACGCACUAUCAAGCCACCUACCAGGUAUGGUUUUGAAGAUUUGGUUUCUUAUGCACUAAUUACUAGUAGUAGGGAUCCUACUACCUUUCAAGAGGCAAUACACAACUAAAAGAAAAGUGGAUGGAUGGGUGCUAUGGUGGAGGAGACUUAGUCUUUUGCAUAAGAACCAGACAUGGGAGUUGGUGGAGCUUCUAGAGAGGAAGAGAGGAAUAUGAUGUAAGUGGGUGCACUAGAAGAAAGAAACAGUUUCAGAAAAAAAUAGUGAAAGGUUCAAAGCUCGUUUAGUAGCAAAGGGUUACUCAUAGAGGAAAGAGGUUGACUAUGAUGGGAUUUUUUCCCCCCGUGGUCAGACACACUUCCAUUAAGAUAGUGUUGGGCUUAGUAGCACAUUUUGACAUGCAGUUGGAGCAAAUGGAUGUAAAGACAACUUUUCUUCAUGGUGACUUAGUGGAAUUGGUUUAUAUGGUACAACCAUAAGGGUUUAUUCAACCUGGACAAGAGCACUUGGUCUAUAAAUUGAGAAAAUCACUUUAUGGGUUGAAGUAAUCCCCAAGGCAGCGGUACAAGCGAUUUGACUCCUACAUGAUCAAGAUUGGCUACAAGAGAUGUGAGUAUGAUUAUUGUGUUUAUGUAAAAAGCCUAGAUGAUGAUUCAUUUAUUUUUCUAUUACUCUAUGUGGAUGACAUGUUAAUUGCUACAAAGAGUAUGAUUAAGGUCAAUAAGUUGGAGUCUUUGUUGAGCAAGGAGUUUGACAUGAAGGAUUUAGGUGCGGCCAAGAAGAUCCUUGGGAUGGAGAUUCAUAAGGAUAGAGUUUCAGGGAGACUAUGGUUAUCUCAGCAUAGCUAUGUCAAGAGAGUGUUGAAGAGGUUUAACAUGGAUAAUGCAAAACUGGUAAGUACACCCUUAGCAGAUCAUUUCAUAUUGUCUACUAAUUAAUGUCCAAAAAUAGAUGAUGAAGUAAAAGACAUGUCAAAGGUUCCUAAUGCAAGUGCAGUGGGAUGCUUGAUGUAUGCUAUGGUUUGUACAAGACCAUAUUUGACACAUGUUGUUAGUGUGUUGAGUAAGUUUCUAUCAAAUCCGGGAAUGCAUUGGGAUGCAAUAAAGUGGAUCUUUAGAUACUUAAAGGGUACUACAGACUAUGGCAUCAUGUUUAGCAAACAACAAAGUAAUCCUUCAAUUAAGGGAUAUGUUGAUGCAGACUAUGCAAGAGACUUGGAUGAUAGGAGGUCUACCACAGGUUAUGUAUUCACCCUUGGUGGAGGACCUAUUUGUUGGAAGCCUAUGAUACAUUCUCUAAUUGCACUAUCUACUACCGAGUCAGAAUAUAUGGCAAUAGUUGAGGCUGCAAAGGAAUCAUUAUGGCUUAUAGGUUUGGUCAAGGAGUUGGGUAUUCAACAAGGUGGAGGUCAAUUAUAUUGUGACAAUCUGAGUGCCAUUUAUUUGGCAAAGAACCAGGUGUAUCAUGCAAGGACCAAACAUAUAGAUGUGAGGUUUCAUAAGAUCAGGGAAUUGGUUUCUUUUGGUGAAUUGUUACUUGAGAAGGUUCACACCUCUGAGAAUGCAGCAAACAUGUUGACAAAGCCUGUUACCACAGAAAAGUUCAAGCAUUGCUUGAACUUGAUUAAUGUCUCCAGAUGUUAGAUAGGAGAUUCCCUAACCUAUUGUCUCAGGUAGAGUUACUAGUUAUGUUUCUUGUUUCCUAAGGGGGGUGAUUAUUUGCCAAGAUGGAGAUUGUUGUAGUAUGUGGCUCAUAUUGAAUGAAAGACAUAUGGAGAAAAAUAGGCAAAUGUCGGAGCGACGACAUUUUCCAUUCAAGCUUGUAUUUUUAUUGUUGUGGGCGAACGAUAGGUUAGGGGGGGGGGGGGGGGGAAAAAAAAAAAAAAAAAAAAAAGGGGGGCAAAUCCCCCCGGGGGAUGGGGGAGGGGGAUUUUUUGGAAUUUUUUUUUUUGGGGGGUAGAAAAAAACCCCUUUUUUAAAACCCUAAUUUUUAAAAAAAGGGAAAGUUUUUUUCCCGUUUCCCGGGGGGGGGGGGAAGGGGUGGAACCCCGUAAAACCGGGGGGUUUUUUUUUUUUUUUUUCCCAUUUUUCCCCCAAAAUCUUUGCUAAAAAUCCCCCAUAUUUUUUUUUAAAAAAAAAAAAAAAAAAAAAUUUUUUGUUUUUAAUUAAAAAAGAAAAAAAUUUUAAAAAAAAUUUUUAUUUUUUGUUUUUUUUUUGGGGGGGGGAAAAAAAAANNNNNNNNNNNNNNNNNNNNNNNNNNNNNNNNNNNNNNNNNNNNNNNNNNNNNNNNNNNNNNNNNNNNNNNNNNNNNNNNNNNNNNNNNNNNNNNNNNNNCAUAUUGAAUGAAAGACAUAUGGAGAAAAAUAGGCAAAUUUUGGAGGGAGGACAUUUUCCAUUCAAGCUUGUUUUUUUAUUGUUGUGGGCGAACGAUAGGUUAGGGGGGGGGGGGGGGGGAGAGAGAGAGAGAGAGAGAGAGGGGGGGCAAUGCCCCCUGUGGUAUGGUGUAGGGGUAUUUUUGGAAUUUCAUUACUUGAGGGUUAGUAUAAAUACCCUUUUUAUAUAACCUUAAUUUUAGAUAUAGUGAAAGUCUUCUUCCCUGUUCCCGUGGACGUAGGCAAUGUGUUGAAUCACGUUAAAUCUGUGUGUUUUUCUUUUCGUUUUCUCUAAUUUUCACCAUAAAUCAUUGCAUAAAACUCAACAAUAUUAGUUAUGAAAGAAAAAAAAAAAAAAAACUUGUAAGUAUCAAAUGAAACAAGAAAAAUAGUUAAAGAAAAGUUUUAAUUAUUGAUAUUAGUUAUGGUAGGGAAAAAAAUAACCUAUAAAGUAUCAAAUUAAACAACAAAAAUAGAUAAUUUAAAAAAAAAAUUAUUAAAAAUUAAAAAAAAAUUCAAACAAUAUUUCAAAAGAUUUUUUUAAAAAAAAAAUAGAAAGAAGUAUGAUUAUAAAUUUUUAAGAAUUUAACAUUUUUUUUUUAACAAAACUUAAAAAAAAAAAUCAAUAAUUUUUUUGUUAGAAAUUAUUAAUAUAUUUAGUUACUAUAUUAGAAUUAUAUAUUUAGUUAGUAUAUGUUUAUUUAUUUAGUUACCAUAUCUCUUAUUUAAUUAAUUAUUAUAUUGGAAUUAUUAUUAUUUUUAGAAGUAAUGGUGCAUUAGUUUUUAUUUCCUUUUAUUAGGUCUAUUUAAAUUCUAAUGGUAUUAUACCUAUUUUUAAAAGAAUUUAUGAUAAGAAAUUUUAAAUUUUCUUUUCUGUCUUUUACUCUUUGAGUCCCUUUUGGAUUUCAAUAUUUCUAAUAAAUUUUAAGUAUUUUUUAAAAAUAAUUAAAUUGAUAAAACUUUUAUUUAAAAUUUAUUUCUAACAAUAUAAUAUAGAGGCAGCACCAUUAUUAUCAAUUGUAAAUUUGUUGCGUCAAGAUUAAACCUAAAAGCUUAGGUAUUUUAAAAAUAUUAAAGUCAACCAAAACAACCUGCCACUAAAAAAAAUUCUAAAAUUUUGGGAUAAUGAAUAACACACAAUUAAAAUAAAAUCAUGAAAAUAAAAGAAUAUAUAUAUAUAUAUAUAUAUAAAUAAAAUCAUGAAAAUAAAAGAAUAUAUAUAUAUAUAUAUAUAUAUAUAUAUUUCUUCUUUCACUAAUUCAAUCUAGUAAAUAAUUUAAUCACCAGUAAAAUAAAAAGGAGAGAAGACAUACCUUGCUAGGGUUAAAGAAAGCUUUGAUCCUUUGGAAACUAGAGAAUUCUUUCUUGGCUGGGUGAUCUUCUCUAUCACCAAGGCUUCCUCUUGAUGGCUGAGGCCAAUAGAUCUGAUCUUGGGCGUAUAUAAGAUGUAUCCCACAACUUUUCAAUUUAAAGGAUUCGUUAUCGCCACAUCGAAAAGAGCCACCGCCCAUUGGAGUGUAAAGAGCCUUCAAGGUGUUCCACCGACUGGAUCGAAACUUACUUGGAAUGUGAAUUUGAGGGAAAUAGGUCACCCACAAUGCUGGAUCUGAUGUAGCACGACUAUCGUAGCAUAUGUAGUCAUACGAUAAACAUCGGAGAUAGUAGCCUUUACAUUCUGGAUCAAACCAUAUAUCACCAAUUUGUUUAGAUUGAUCACCAUGGGAUAGUGUCAAUAUACAUCGUGGAAAAUCGUCACAUGUGGUCUCACAUUCACCAUCAUCAAGAGGAACAUGAUGGAAGAAUAAAACAAAUCCCAACAAGUUGUUAUCUUCACGCCAAUUCAUUGGAAGCAAGCUCUACUGUUACUUCACAUCCCAUUCUCUGAUGACUUACCCACUCUGGUAUUCCACUACUUCCUGGAAUAACAAUAUUGCAUUGCUGCAGAAAAAUGUCAUGUAAAUCUCAUGCAAGAAAAAAAUAAAAAAUAAAAAAUAAUAAUUAUGCCAUGAAAAUGAUACUGAAAUUUUGAUAUAGAGGGUUCGAGGAGAGACCAGAGGAAUAGACUCGAGGAUGUUUCAGUUUCCAGACAUGGACAACCAUGUGCCUCUAUUCGUGUUAGACUUGAUGGAAGCUCUGCAAUUUCUUCAAGCAUCGGACAGUGAUUCAUGAGAAGGGUUUCGAGAUUAGAAAGUUGAGUGAUGCCAACAGGUAUGCAAUGAAUAUGGUUUUCACUUGCAUCUAAAAAUUGCAGUAAGGAUAAGCACCAUAAAUCACUGGGGAUUUCUCCUUCCAUCAUAUUGCAACCACCUAGAUCUAGACUUCUUAAGCAACAUCAUAAGCUUCUCAAGUUGUUGGGCAACUUGUGGAGCUUUGAAUAAUUACGAACAGAAAGACUUGCAAGACGUGUCAAAUUACCAAUGUUGCUGGGAAGACUCACAAGCUUCUCACAUUUGUACAAUUCCAAAUCCCAAAGACCUCUUAGAUGUUCAAUUGAUGAUGGCAGCUCUGUUAUAGCCAUUUCACGCAAAUAAAGGCAUUCUAAAUGUUCCAUAUCCUCUGUGAUCUCCCAAAAAGUUUCUAUAUUUGAACAACCAUUAAGAGAGAGGCGUUUGAGGGAUUUCAACCCACAGAUACUAUUUGGAAGACUUCUCGUUAAAUUUGGGUGAGAUGACCUAUUGAACUUUUCUGGAUCUCAAGAAACUUUUCAAAAUUUGAGCAACCACUGAGUAAAAGAGUUUCAAGGGCCUCUAAGCACCUAAUACUCUUUGGGAAUUCCUUAAUAGCGGUCUUCUCUAAAGAAAGUCUCUUUAAGCAUUUCAUGCUCCCUUGGAUCUCCGGGAAUUUUUGAAAGUUUGAGCACUCUGAGAGGUCAAGACUUAUAAGAGAUUCUAAAUAUCCAAUGCUGUCAGGGAGUUCCAUAGUACCACUCUGAGAUAAAUCAAGCUCCCUUAGAAGUCUCAUAUUGGUAAAUAUAUCUGAAAAUUUCUCAAACUUUAAACAUUUAUUAACAUAAAGAAUUUCGAGAGAUGUUAAGGACCCAAUGCUAUCUGGGAGUUCCUUAAUAGCAGUCUGAUGUAAAGAAAGUUUCUUCAAACAUUUCAUAUUCCUUCUAAUCUCUAGAAAUUUCUCAAAUUUCAAGCAAUAUGUGAGGUCAAGAGUUUCGGGAUAUUCCAAAUACCCUAUGUUGUCCGGGAGUUCUUUAAUACCACUUUCACGUAAAUUAAUCUCCCUUAAAUGUCCCAUAUAGGUAAAUAUAUCUGGAAAUUUCUCAAACUUUGAACAUCCUUUUAACCAAAGCUUCCUCAAAAACUUCAUAUUCCCAUGGAUCUCUGGAAAUUUCUCCAAGUUUGAACAAUUUGAGAGAUCAAGGACUUCAAGAGAUGCUAAAUGCAUGAUGCUACUUGGUAGUUCUCUAAUCCUAGUUUUGUUUAAAUAAAGCUCCUUCAAAUGUUUCAUAUUCCCAUGGAUCACAUCAAACUUCUCCAAGUUUUGACAAUGAUAAAGAUAAAGAACUUCAAGAGAUUCAAACUUCAUGCUAGUUGGGAAACUUUGGAGCUGUUCACAUCCUCCUAAAUUCAAGUAGGUCAAUCUUUUGAGAUGGCCAAUAGAUGAAUGAAGUUUACGCAAACUUGUACAACCUUUAAGAUUCAGUCUCUCCAAAUUCGCCAUGCUUGAGAAUUUUGGCAUUUUGACUAGGUGUUUUGAAUUACUUAGAUCAAUGCCCUUUAAUUUUCCAAGACACUGCAACAUAAGACAUUCUUUUAAUAAAACAAAAAUUCUUUUAACUUGAAAAUUAUCCUAAAGAAAAAAACAUUAAAUAAUGAUCAUACCUUAUUCCCUUUCCAAAGUUGUUUUAUGUUGCUAGACUUCAAGUUGAUUUCAAUAAGGUUCUCUCCAUAAAAUUUUGAAGGCAAAGACCUCAAAGUGCAUCCUUGCCAAUGAAGAUAUCUCAAAUUAUGAGGAAAUUCAAAAUCUUUAGGAAAAAACACUUUAUACUCCUCUCUCUUCAAACCAUCAUGAUCAUUGCAAUGGACUUUGAGCAACCUAAGUUUCUUCAUCUUGGCAAACACUUUUGUAGUGAACUGUAUUUCUUUUGAUCUAGACAAGUCGAGAGAUAUGGUUUGAAUACUUUCCAUCCCCUGGAAACAAGAAUGAAGAAUAAGGGAAUAACACAAGAUAAAAAUCCUAACUAAAAUUUUAUAGGCAAUUAAUCCUUAAAAAUGCAUUAUAAAUAUCUAAAUAACUAAGUUCAUAUAUUUAAUUCAUACCUCUUGUCUAGAAAAUGCAUCAUAAAUAUCAUCUACAUCCCACAAUCUGCUCCAUUUACUUAGGUCUCCAGGACAUUCUUCAUGAACAAUUGCCCAACCCAUUUCUUGUAUCAAGUCAUGCAUUUGUAUGAUGUUUUUUGAAAUAGUUACUAGACAUCUAUCACAAAGAACUCUUAUGUUGUAUGUUGCAAAUAAAUUGCAACCAUCUAAUAUUGUCAACAUAUAUAUAAUCUUUGUCUUCCCCUUUGAAGAAACAUGCAAUGUCAAGGAAAACCUCCUUUUCAAAAUGAUCAAGCCCAUCAAAACUUAUUCUAAGCACAUCAUUAAUUUUCUUGUUAGCAUUUUUUUUUCAAUUUAUCCAAUGCACUUUUCCAUUCAUCUAUUGCCAUGCCAUGGAGAGAAGAACCUAGAACUUUAAGGGCUAAAGGAAGACCUUGAGCAUAAUGUACCAUGCAAUUUGAGAGGUUUACAUAAUCUUCUUUGGGAACAUUUUGUUUAAAGGCAUGUCUACUGAAGAGUUGAAUAGCUUCCUUAUAAUGUAAUUGCUCAACCUUAUAUGAUAUAUCCACUCCAUACUCACCCAGCAAAUGUUGGUCUCUAGUUGUUAUGAUAAUUAUGCUUCCUAUACCAAACCAUUUAAGACUUCCAACCAAUAACUUUAAUUGCUCCAAAUGAUCCACAUCAUCAAUAACAAUAAGAACUUUUUUUGAGUCAAGUCUAGCCUUUAUUAUAUUGAUUCCUUUAUUGAUAUUGCUAAACUCUACAUCAUUCCCCAUUGUAUCAUGUAGAAGUUGUUGUUGUAGUUGAAGUUGACAACCCUUGUUGAAUGUCUCUCUGACAUCUUGAAGAAAGCUUGCACUGGUGAAUUGAUAUUGGAUCUCAUUAUAAACAAUCUUGGCAAUGGUAGUUUUACCAAUUCCACCAGGUCCAUAGAUCCCAACCACACGAAUGUCAUUCAAGUCACUACUUAACGAUUUUAGUUCUUUCAGGUGAAAAUCCAUCCCAACUAUAUCAUCGUUAAUAUGCAAAAGCUUAGAAUUCAUUGAUCUUUUAAAAAUCUGGUUAACAAUUUCCUUAAUAUGCUUUGACUCAUACCUGCCAAUUAUAAAGUACAAUUUAACACUUCAUGAGUUAUAAUGAAUUGCAAAAGAUAACAAAUAUAAAGUAAAUUUAGUGACAUUUACUUGCUUUUGUCAAUAUAAUAAAAGUAAUAGGAUGUAAAAAAUAUUAAAAGAACCCACUAUAUUGAGCAUUUUAUAGAUAAUGAAAAGGCAAGUAGUUUUGAGGCAAGUGUUAAUAAGAUCACAAAGCAAGCUUUACUAUACAAAAUUAUUAACUCGUUAAUUCAUAAUUUAAGACAACUAAAUCUUUACAACUAAUUAAAUCAAAAACACAAAUUAAGGAAGUUGAAGCUACCCAUCAUUCACAUGGAAACCACUAAGAUUGCUUGCUUCAGUCAAGGAAUCCCUCCACCUUUGCACCUUUUUCGCAUCUACAUUUCUUUCAUGAAUGGAAAAUGCCUCUCCGAAGCUCCCUGUUUGCUUUCGCACAUCACAAGGAUCCACGUGGUAGAACACCGGAAAGACUAUUUGUUCCAUUUCUUCCCUGCACUCCAUGAUCUUCGCUAACUCAUCCAAACACCACUUGGAAUGAGCAUAGUUUUUUGAGAACACAACUAUGGAAAUUCUUGAUUCUUCAAUACUUUUCAAAAGUUCUGAUUUGAUCUCCUCUGCUCCUUCAAGUUGAUCGUCUCUGAAAGUCUUAAUCCUCAUCCCAUGCAAAUUUACGAAUAAAUGAUCCGUAAAAUUGUUGCGGGUGUCUUCACCUCUAAAACUCAAGAACACUUCGAACUGAUAUUUACGGACUGAGGUAGAAGAAGAAGAGGGUUUUUGGGUAGAGGAAGCCAUCGUUGGAGUUGAGGAAGAACUUGUUCUUAGUCAAUACUUGAUAUGCCCACAGCAUGUUUGGGUCCUCAUAUGAAGCAAAACUAUUUUUCUUUUUUUUUUCUUUUUUUUUUUCUUUUUUUUUGGUGGAGUGGUUAGAUUGUAAAAAGCAAAGAUCGAUUUUCCCAAUACAUGCAAGCAGGUGAUUUGUCAGUUAAAUGUAAAGGAGUAAUGAGUGGGGAGGUCGGUGGCUUUUAAGAAGGGCCCACCCACCACAAAACCCGUAAAAGCCUUAAAUUAAAAUUUCAGUUUUCGGUAUUAUGGCCAUCGACGCUUUCCUUUGACCAGUCAAAACCUUUCAUUACAAUUGCCAUAGAUUGUAAAGUCUUUCAAUUCUAUUGCCACGGUGCAAUUUAAUAUAUAGUUUAUUCCUCCCUCCUAAAUUUUAACUUAAAUUCAAUUAAUUUUAAUUAUUUUUUUAUAUUCUAUUUAAUAUAUUAUUAAAAAUAUAAAAAUAUCAUAAUAAUCUUACCAGAGUCUUUCUUUAUUAAAAAAAAUAAACUUGGAUAUAAAAUUAUUAAUAUUUUUAAACAUAAAAAUAUAUGCAUAUAUCAUUAUUUUUUAUUUUAAAUAAAAAUCAUCAUUUUAAAUACAUACUUGAUUACUAAAAAAAAAUAAAAAUUUUAAUAAAUUAAUUAAUUUUAAUUAUCUUAUUAUUAAAUUUCAUUUAGCAUAUUAUGAAAAUGUAAAAACCAUAAUAAUAAUGAUUUACUGAAAACAAUCUUUUAUGUUUUUUGUAUAUUAAUUAUUUAUAAAUUUAUAUAUAUCAAAUUUAAAAAGUAAAUUAAAAAAUAAUCAUACAUAUAUCAUUAAUUAUUUUAUACCCUAAAAUACAUUCAAACUAAAUAGAACAUUAUUUUUAUAAUAAAUGUGGUAAGAUACUUUAUAAACUUAUUUAUGUUACUCGACGUACCCCUCUUCUUUAUUUUUAAGUUUUUAUUUUUCACUUUACAAACCAUCUAUGUUACUAAAUGUAUCCCUCUUUUUGUUUUACAAUUUUUAUAUUCUUUCAACUUUUCAAACUCAAUAUUCCUUUUAAAAAAAAAUUAAUUUUUAAAACUUUUUCUUUUAUAAAAAGUUUCUAAAACCAUAAAUUUUUUAGAUAAAUUUUAUUAUUAUAUUUUUCAUUAAAAAUGAAUAAUAACAUUGAAUUUUUUUAUAAGGAUGAAUCAUAAUAUUUCAAAAUUUCACAUAAAAUCUCAAUUACUUGAAAACGUAUGUUAAAUUAUAAGGAAUAAGUAUAAAUAAAGAGAUAAUAAUUAUUUCAAUAAAUAAUGAUAAAUUUUGCCAUAAUAAAAAAUAUAAAUUAUGCAUUUUUUUUUGUUAAAAGCCGAUCAUAUCAUCCACAAUACAAACUAAAGUGCAGGCUGUGUUGUCGGAUGAGGAACCCUUCUGGGGUCUUUUCCUUUUCGUAGAACCUUCAUAUUGCUUCCACAUUCUAUAAGGGUUCGUGUUGCAAGUAGGGAAAGGAAGGGAGAAAGAAACCUAAGAAAAGGACUUUUGAGUGCACUUUCAUGCAAAGUUCGAGGAAUCGAACAAAGAAGAGAACUCUUUAUCCAAGAAAACAUGAAUGUAAAUGGAGUAAAUAGAACGAAAACUGGAAUUAGUAUAUAAAGAUGAAGAAAGAGGUGGGUUUUCCUCACUUGAACACCGAUAACACAAGAUUGGUAGCUUGAUGCUAAUGGAAGAGGAAAAAACAAGAAUGUCGUGGUGUGGUAAUAGUGUUAUUGAGACUCCAAAAGGAAGGAUGUCAUAACUUUUGAAAUUUGAAAAGGCAUGGUAUGUGUGUCAUCGGUAGGAGGCAAAAGAAACCCCCAAAGGAGGCUUGAAGGUACAUUGGUUUGAGUGUCCAAUACAAAAAAAUUCCAAGGUCUGGAAAAUCAAGGAAAAUAUAUUCCCACUUAAAUGAAAAAGAAUUUUCCGUUUGACCUCAGCUAAGGGUCAACGAAAAAUUGAGGGCAAUUGUGGGCACCAUGGUAAAUGGGGAUAAACGGGCCUACCUAAAGAACUAUCUGCUGAUUUGGGCCAGUUUGGGCCUCGAUUAAAAGCCCAUUUAGCCUAAUUGCCCGACUUACUUAAAUAGCCCAACAAGUAAAGUGGAAAAUAAAAUGUGGGAGAACAACCCACAAGAAGUAGUGAAGGCAAUUAACGCUUGGGGCAGUAAUUGCUUGAAGUGGCUAAAAAGUGUCCCCAUGAUCUCCACACCUAUCGGUAGCUAAAAGGUAUAUGAAUACAACUGGCAAGUCUAAAAAGCAGAAAAAAAAAAAAAAAAAGGAUUGUAACAUGAGAAAUAUUACAUUUUCUAGAAAACCCUAGGUAACUUAAUAAUUGGAGGAGGUGAUUCCGGGGUAAAACUGAGUGAGCCCUGUGUGGCAAGGAUAAGGAAGCGCGCGAUAAGAAUAGGACUAUUGCUCAAGAAAUUCUCAACUCCAAUAGGCAUUACUUUACAAAAUAUUUUAAAAUGAUGAAAAUAAAAUAGGAAGUUUUAAUUUUGGUAGGUAGGAAGGAAAUAAUUGAGAAGUUUUUUUUUUUUUUUUUUUUUUAAAGUAAAAAUGAUAGCACUAGAGUCAAGAUUUUGCAAUGCCUUAAUUCUAUCAUAAAAUGAAUUUAUGUAUACUUACACAAAAUUUUCAAUAGAUGAUUACUAUAAGAAAAAAAAAUCCACCUUUUUUUAGCUUUAUUUUUAAUAUGAUUCUCAUUCUUAAAAUAAUAAAAUUUAAGUAAGUGUGUGUUUUUUUUUCUUCUGUUAUUAUCAAUUAUAAAAUUCAAAAUCUUUUCAUUUGAUUUGUUAAUGCUAUGUUUGGUUUAAGAAUUGUAAUAAAUAAAGAAAAUUAUUUUCUCAUAUUUGAUUUUAUUAUAAAAAAUAAAAAAAUAUAAUUAAAAUUAAUUAAAAACUUAUAUAUUUUUAAAUGAUUUAUUUUUAUAUAAAAGUAUUAAAUUAAAUAAAAUGAGUUUGAAGUGAUGUAUAAAAAUAAUUUAUUUCCUUUAAAUCUAUUUUUAUUUUAUAAUAGAAUCCAAAGUUUUAUAAUGCUUAAACGCGCGUAGAAAGAGAGCAAUCAAGCUUCAUGUGCUAGUAAUUUUUUUAUUUUUUUAUUUUAGUAUUUCUUGUUUGGAUUGAAACAAAAUCAACACAUCAUACAAAAUUAUAAUAAACUUUUAAUUUUCAAAUAGAUUAAGUGUAUAUUAUAUUUAUACAUAAUGCUAAAUCAUAGAUGCUUCAAAAAAUUACGUAGGAUAACUAAUUAUUUUUCUAUUAAAAAAAUAAAUGAUGUCAUUAAUUGUUGUAAACUAAUUUACAUUAUGGGAUGAUGAGUUGGUUGGUCAUUCUAUCAUCUUCAAAAUCAUCCCGGAAAAUAAAAGUAGUCCCAUAAUUAAUGAUUAAAUAAAAACAUUUUUUUUUCAUUUUUUAAAAAAAUAAAAUUUUAAUUUUAAUUUCUUCCACUCCUAUGAGGUGGCUAGUAAAGGUGGUUAAGAAACCAAAUGCUUGUACAUUUUCUGUUCUUUUCUUUUCUUUUAAUAUUACAUUUAUCAUGUUUUUAUUUUUUCAUUUAUGUAUUAAAAUUUUUAAAGGCGACUUCCUUAUUUAAUAAGAGAAGUAAGUGUCUCUCCCAAUUAGAGUUUAUAAUACCCCUUGGUUUUUUUUUUUUUAUUAUUAUUAUAGAAAGUUGAAUAAUUUAAUCAUAAAACAAGAGCAAGUGUGGAAAAUUAUAGUCCUAUAUAAAAUGUAGGAGCUCUCAUAAAUUUAUCUUGAAAAAAUAAUAAUUUUAAAAAAUCAAUUCUUAUACAAAAUUAGGUAUUAAAAAAAAAAAAUUGACUACCUCAAAUUUUAAAAAUCUUGAAAGUAAUUUUUAAAAAUAUAAAAUUUAUGGUCCAUGCAAGUUAUUGGAUUUCAUAUAUAAAUAGCUAUUAUUUUCCUUUUUUACAAAACAUGGAAUUAGUAAGCCGGAGGGCACUUAGACACAUAUACAUUAAAAUCGAGGGAAAUAUGGUAUCCUCAUUUUUUUUUUUUUUUUAUGAAAAAUUAAAGAAAAUGAAUAUGCCUAAAUAAAUGGUUUGUAUGGAUUGAGAUUAUUAUAAGAUGAAAAUGACUACACUCCAAUAUGCUAAUAUUCAUGCCAUAUUUUAGUCGUGUUAUCAUGUUACAUCAAAAUUAUCAUCCUGAUAUUUUUUUUAUAUAUAAAUUUAAUAAUAUGGUACAUAACUUUUGUAGAACAAAAAGUUUAUAAGCUAGUCUUGCUAAAUAAUUGAAGCUACUUUGGUCACUAUGCAUAUGAUCUUAAUAGAUAAAUGAGGAUAAUUUAUCAUUGUUUCAAAAUCAUUCUUGAAAAUGCUUGUAAAUAAUUUCAAAUAAAUAAAAUUAUCCAUACCUAAAAGCAUACAAAUUAAAAUCAACAAUUCAAAUUAUCCAUACUUAAAAACAUACAAAUUAAAAUUACUAAUUCACAUUAUACAUGCUUAAAAACAUAUAAAUAAAAAUCCACAAUCCAAACAAAGUGUCUCUUUUAUGGCAUUCUCAUUCUGGUUCAAUACCGCAUCUCUACCAUCCUUCCAAUUCCAUAACCAAUAGUUAGUCUAGUUUCCAUGCGCAACCUGACCAAUGGUUAGUCAUAGUUUAAUGAGCAUAUUAUGACAAUAAUUAUCCUGUGCUUUUUCAUCUUUAGAAAUGAAACAAAGAGCAAAAUAAAUAUUAAUUCAUGCUAUGUAAUUGAAAAACAUAUGAUAAUUGUUUUGGUCUACCAAUUAAAAAAUGAAGCUCUAAAUAAAAAUUUUAAUUAAUUCAAACAAAAACUCUGGCCUACCAAAACAGCUACGGUAAUAUGGUUUUUCUUUCUAAAUUCAUUAGUUCAUUCCAAAGAUAAAACUUUGAUAGGUUCUAAGAUAUUUAUUAGAAAAAAUAAAGGAGUUUUAACUUUAGAUUGGCCUAAGAAUACAGGAUCUCCAAAUUUCAUAAACACUUGGAAUAAUUAAAAAUAAAAUAAAAUAAAAUAAAAUAAAUACAUAAAAAGGAAAAAAGAAAUUUGAAUUUCCUGACCAUAUCUAAUUCUGUAUUGAACUCUAUAUUCUUCCAAGCAUGUAAUCAUUUUAAAAUAUGUCUAUAUAUUUUUUUCCAUUAAUUCUUCUAAAUAUUUUAAACCUUAUGGAGUAGAGUUGGAAACCACAGAUAUCUUCAUUUUUUUUUAGUAUGAUUUCUUUUCAUAAAAACCUUUUAUUGUAUUGUAAUGAGUAAAUAAAAAAAAUAUAGACAUAAACUGAGAAGCAUGUAAGUUACAUGUUUCAAACAAUCUUGAUAUGGCCUUAAAGGAGUGGUUGAGUUAGAUAAGUAGGGGGCAAAGUAAAUUCUUUUUUUUUUUUCAUAAAAAAAACAUGAAAUAUAAUAAACAUACAAAUUUUUUUACAUUUCAUGAAGUGCUUUAUCAUUUAACAAAAUAAGUGAUUAUUGAUAUUAGUUAUGAAAGAAAAAAUAUAUAAAAUAAAAAAUGAAACAACAAAAUAGAUAAAGAAAAGUUUUAAUUAUUGAUAUUAUUUAUGAAAGAAAAGAAGAUAUAAAGUAUGAAAUGAAACGACAAAAAUACAUAAUUUUUUAAAAUUUUGUUUAAAAAUUAACAAAAAUUCAAACAAUAUUUUCAAACGAAUUUUAAAAAAUAGCAAGAAAGGUGACCAUAAAUUUUAAAGAAUUUCACAUUUUUUUUAACAAAACUUUAAAAAAUUCAAUAAUUUUACUAAUAAAUUUUAAGAAUCAUUUUUGAAAUAAUUAAAUUGAUAAAAUUUUUAUUUAAAAUUUAUUUCUAACAAUAUAAUAUAAAUGUAGCAUCAUUAUCAAUAGUAAAUUGGCGAAACUAUGGGAUCUAAAAUUUUGGGAUAAUUAAGAACACAUGAUUAAAAUAAAAUCAUGAAAAGAAAAGAAAAAAAAAUAUAUCAGCUGGGUUAUGAUUUCAAAUGUUUUCUAGAUAUUUCAUUUUUUUGCUAAUUCCAUCUAAUAAAUAUUAUAUUCACUAGUGAAUGAAAAAAGAAGAGAGAGAACACAUACCUUGCUAGAGGUUAAAGAAACCCUUGAUCCUUUGGAAACUAGAGAAUUUUUCCUUGGAUGAGUGAUCUUCUCUAUUAGCAGGCCUUUUUCCCGACGGCUGAGGCCAAUGCUUCUGAUCUUGGGCAUAUAUGAGAUGUAUCCCACAACUUUUCAUUUUAAAGGAUGCGUUUUCGCCACAUGUAAAAGAGGCAUUAUAGACACGAUUGUAAAAGUGAGCCUUGAAGUUGUUCCACUUUCUGGAUCGAUACUUGCUUGGAAUGCCAAUCUGCGGGAAAUACGUCACCCACAGUGCUGGAUCUGAUGUGCUACCACUGUCGUAGCGUUCGCUGCUACAUGAUAUACCUUCAAUGCAGUAUCUUUUACAAUGAGGAUGAAAAUGAAUAUUAUCCAGUCGUUUAGAUUGAUCACCAUGGGAUAUCGCCAAUUCACAUUGAGGAAAAUAAGAUGUUCUCACGCAUUCAUCAUCAUCAAGGGGAACAUGAUGGAAGAAUAAAACAAAUCCUAACAAGUUAUUAUCUUCAUACCAAUUCAUUGGAAGCUCCACACUUACUUCACAUCCCAUUCUUUGAUGACUUACCCACUCUGGUAUUCCACUACUUCCUGGAAUGAUAAUAUUAAAUCUCCGCUGCAGAAAAAAAUGUCAUGUAAAUCUCAUGCUUUUUUUUUGAAAAAAAAGGGGGGUGGGGUUGGGGAAGGGCGGUUGAUAAUUAUGCCAUGAAAAUGAUACCUGAAUUGGUGAUUUCAAGUGUUUGAGCAAAGAAGACCAGAGUAGACUUGAAGAAGUUUCAGUUUCCAGGCAUGGACAACCAUGUGCCUCUAUCCAUCCUAGACUUGAUGGAAGCUCUCCAAUUACUUCAAGCAUCGGACAAUGAUUCAUGAGAAGGGUACGAAGCUUACAAAGAUGAGUGAUGCCAGUAGGUAUGCAACGCAUAUGGUUUUCACUUAUGUUUAAAAAUUCCAGUGAGGAUAGGCACCAUAAAUCACUGGGGAUUUCUUCUUCCAUCAGAUUGCAACCACCUAGAUCUAGCGACGUUAAGAUACAUUGCUGGCUUCUCAAAUUGUCAGGCAAGUUGUGGAGCUUUGGACAGUUACGAACAUGAAGACUAGUAAGACAUGUCAAAUUACCGAUGCUAUUGGGAAGAGCCACAAGGUUCUCACAAUUGAUCAAUUCCAAGGAUUUAAGACCUCUCAGAUGUUCAAUUGAUGAUGGCAGCUCUGAGAUACCCGUCUCACAUAAAAAAAGGCCUUCUAAUUGUUCCAUAUCCUCCGUGAUCUCUAAAAAAGCCUCUAGAUUUGAACAACCAUUGAGAGAGAGGCCUUUGAGGGAUUUCAACCCACAUAUACUGUUUGGAAGACUUUUCAAGUUUCUACAAUUUUCCAAAUCUAAGCGUUCAAGUCUGGUGAGAUGACCUACUGAGUAGGGUAAUCCUCUAAUAGCAGUCUCAUCUAGAAAAAGACCCCAUAGAUUCCCCAUAUUUUUUUGAAUCUCAGGAAACCUCUCAAGAUUUGAGCAACCACUGAGAUCAAGAAUUUCAAGGGCCUGCAAGCGCCCAAUGCCAUUUGGGAGUUCCUUAAUAGCAGUAUCCUCUAAACAAAGCAUCUUCAAGCAUUUCAUAUUCCCUUGGAUCUCUGGAAAUUUCUCAAAGUUUGAGCAAUAUCUGAGGUUAAGUUCUUCAAGAGAUUCCAAAUACCCAAUGCUGCCUGGGAGUUCCUUAAUACCACUCCCAUAUAGACAUAGCUCCCUUAAACGCCCCAUAUUGGUAAAUACAUCUGAAAAUUUCUCAAACUUUGAACAUUCUCUAAGAGAAAGCAUUUCAAGAGAGGUUAAGGACCCAAUGCUAUUUGGGAGUUCCUUAAUAGCAGUCUCAUCUAAAAAAAGAUUCAACAAACAUUUCAUAUUCCCUUGGAUCUCUGGGAAUUUCUCAAAUUUGGAGCAACAUGAGAGGUCAAGAAUUUCAAGAGAUUCCAAAUACCCAAUGCUGCUUGGGAGUUCUUUAAUACCACUCUCACGUAAAUGAAGCCCCCUUAAAUGUCCCAUAUAGGUAAAUGUAUCCGGAAAUUUCUCAAACUUUGAACAUCUUUCUAAAUAAAGCUCCCUCAAAAAUUUCAUAUUCCCAUGGAUCUCAGGAAAUUUCUCGAAAUUUGAACAAUCUGAGAGAUUAAGGACUUCAAGAGAUGCUAAAUACACAAUGCUACUUGGUAGUUCUUGGAUCCCACUCCUGUUGAAAUAAAGCUCCUUCAAACAUUCCAUAUUCCCAUGGAUCUCAGGAAAUUUCUUGAAAUUUGAACAAUAUGAGAGAUUAAGGACUUCAAGAGAUGCUAAAUACACAAUGCUACUUGGUAGUGCUUGGAUCCCACUCUUGUUUAAAUAAAGCUCCUUCAAACAUUCCAUAUUCCCAUGGAUCUCAGGAAACUUCUUCAAGUUUGGACAACAAUUAAGAUAAAGAACUUCAAGAGAUUCAAACUUCAUGCUGGAUAGGAAACUUCGGAGCUGUUCACAUCCUCCUAAAUUCAAGUAAGUCAAACUUUUGAGAUCGCCAAUAGAUGGAUGAAGUUCACGCAAGCUUAUACAACCUUCAAGAUUCAGUCUCUCCAAAUUCGACAUGCUUGAGAAUUUUGGCAUUUUGACCAAUUGUUUUGAGUUACUUAGAUCAAUGCCCUUUAAUUCUUCAAGACGCUAUAACAGAAGACAUUUUGUUAAUAAAAAAAAUAAAAAAUUGAAAAUUAUUAUAAAGAAAAAAAACAUUAAAUAAUGAUCAUACCCUAUUCCCUUUCCAAAGUUGUUUUACGUUGCUAGACUUCAAGUUGAUUUCAAUCAGGUGCUUUCCAUUAAAGUUCCAAGGUAAAGACGUCAAAGUGCAUCUUUGCCAAUGAAGAUAUCUCAAAUCAUGAGGAAAUUGAAAGUCUUUAGGAAGAAGCACUUUAUACUCCUCUCUCGUCAAACCAUCAUGAUCAUUGCAAUAGAUUUUAAGCAACCUAAGUUUCUUCAUCUUGGAAAACACUUUUGUAUUGAAUUGUAUUUCUCUUGAUCUAGACAAGUCCAAAGAUAUGGUUUGAAUAUUUUGCAUCUCCUGGAAAACAAUAAGGAAAAAUAAGGGAAUAACACAAGAUAAAAAUCCUAACUACAAUUAUAUAGUCAAUUAACCACUAAAAAAUUGAUUAUAAGCAUUUAAAUAACUAUAUUAAGCAUUUAAUUCAUACCUCUUGUUUAGAAAAUGCAUCAUAAAUAUCAUCUACAUCCCACAAUCUACUCCAUUUGCAGGGGUCUCCAAGACAUUCUUCACGAAUAAUUGCCCAACCCAUUUCUUGUAUCAAGUCAUGCAUUUGUAUGACGUUGUUUAAGAUAGUUACUAGACAUCUAUCACAAAGAACUCUUAUGUUGCAUGUUACAAAUAAAUUGCAACCAUCUAAUAUUCUUGACACAAAAUCUUUGCAUUCACCUUUGAAAAAACACGCAAUGUCCAGGAAAACCUCCUUUUGAGAAGGAUCAAGCCCAUCAAAACUUAUUCUAAGCGCAUCAUUAAUUUCCUUCAUAGGGUUUUUUUUCAAUUUAUCCGAUGCGCUUUUCCAUUCAUCUAUUGUCAUGCCCUGAAGAGAAGAACCUAGAACUUUAAGGGCUAAAGGGAGACCUUGAGCAUAUUGUACCAUGCAAUUUGAGAGGUCUACAUAAUCUUCUUUAGGAACAUUUUGUUUAAAGGCAUGUUGGCUGAAGAGUUGAAGAGCUUCCUCAUAAUGUAAUUCUGUAGCCUUAUGUGAUAUAGUCACUCCAUACUCAACCAACAGAUGUUGGUUUCUAGUUGUAAUGAUAAUUGUACUUCCUGGACCAAACCAUUUAGGACUUCCAGCCACUGACUCUAAUUGUUGCAACCGAUCCACAUCAUCAAUUACAAUAAGAACCUUUUUUGAGCCAAGUCUGUCCUUUAUUAUAUUGAUUCCUUUAUUGAUAUUGCUAAACUCUUCAUCAUUCCCCACUGUAUCAUGAAGAAGUUGUUGUUGUAGUUGAAGUUGACAACCCUUGUUGAAUGUCUCUCUGACAUCUUGAAGAAAGCUAGCACCAGUGAAUUGAUAUUGGAUCUCAUUAUAAACAAUCUUGGCAAUGGUAGUUUUACCAAUUCCACCAGUUCCAUAGAUCCCAACCACACGAGUGUCAUUCAAGUCACUACUUAACAAUGACUUUAGUUCUUUUAGGCGAAAAUCCAUCCCAACUAUAUCAUCGUUAAUGUGCAAAAGCUUAGAAUUCAUUGAUCUUUUAAAAAUCUGGUUAAUAAUUUCCUUAAUAUGCUUUGACUCAUACCUGC